rnacentral:lncRNA from 1 species
UUUUUUUUUUGUUUUCGAAAGAAACUUUUAUUUUACCACGUUAAUUAAUAACAGAGAGCCACUGCUGAGAAGGGAAAAAAAGAGAGGCACCUAUAAAAUGAUAAGAAAUAAAGAGAGAGAGAAUAGAUAAAGAGUCUGUUCGGCUGGACUUAUAAGCUAGCUGAUUUGUUGUGAGAGAAAAACACUGUUCGGUGACUGAUAAAUCGGCUGAUAAGCUAACGAACAGGUUGAAAAUGACCAUCUUAGCAGAGCCGCAAAAAUAUCAUGGGGGUGGGGUGCACUGCAUGUGGGGCCCACUGCCGUGGACACCAGAAAUUGCUUGGCGAGGGUACGUACGCCAAAGUGUCCUUUAUUCUAGAUCGUUCUCCCUCCUCCAGAGAUACUGGAAACACAGUGCCAUCUUUUAUCUUCUGAUGGUUUAAUUUUAAUUUUAUUGGCAUAAACGUCUGCACACGCACACACUUUGUUUAACCAGCAGCAGUUUAGGCUAUGACAGGGUUCCUUUCUCUAAUCCUUUUGCUUUGAAGACUGCCCGGGCAUAAUGCAGGGGGUCAAACAAAGUGGCCUGUUUGUUUUGUUUCUCCCUUCUGCGCAGACAAGCAAAGCCCAGGCGACGACGGGCGAACCGUGUCCCGGGCGACUUUGCGCUGCCGUGUCGUGCCGUUUAUGCAAGCGUGUUCAUUCUCAAUUUUCCGCCCAUGUAAAAAAAGUGGAUUUUUUUCUCGGGGGUUAUUUUUUACUAAAAUCAAGAGGAAAAAAAAUGCCGCCAUGCAUCUGUUUGGGUCUCCAGCGUCGAGGAAAGGAAAGGGGAAGCGUUUCCUUUCUUUCUGCCGAUGGGCGCCGGCUUUUGACCUGAACACACCAGAAGUAAUUACUGGAAGGCUGUUUCACCUGAAGGUUUUGCCGAAGGCGUUGGCGUCCGGCACGAUGAAGCCGCCGUCCAGCACCAGCUCCGCCGGGUUGGCGCCGGCGGCGACCUUCCUCUCCGCCACCGCAUCUGCAGCCACAAAAAGGAGCACAGCCCAAUGACAACACCGAAUCGGAUUGAGCAGAGCAGAGGGACAUCGCAAAAGGAAGAACUGAAAACCGCGAGAUUACCGAGCUGGGGCUGUUCAAUGGUGAUCGUCAUCUUCUUCCCCGAUCAGCCUCACAAAUAAAAUAAAAAAAACCCUUGAAACAGCAGGAGGUUCAACGACGACACGAACAGAGCCCAAGAACACGGCGACGGCAAUGGCGAUGGCCUGGCUCUGGAGGCAGAAAUGCGCACGGUAUUUAUAGCAGGAGGUCCGGGGCGCGGGGCCUCGGUGUCAGCCGGCGACAGAGGCGUAGCCUAGGUCUACGGCAACACAGCUGUGGGUGACGCAGCAGGAAGAGAGAGAGGAAAAGUAGAACGCCAGUGAGAGAUCCAUCGGGCGAUCGGCGGGAGCGAGAUACUAGUGGUGGCGUUAUCCGCGCCGCGGGGAUGGGAUUUGCUGAGGGCGGGCGCGGGUGACUCAGCCAUGGCGUGGAGGUGCGUCUGUGGAUGACAACGACACCUCGCGCUCUUGGUGGUAGGUAGGUACUGCCCCCUCCUUUCUCCAUUGCAAACUUGCUUGCUUAUUUUAGCCUUUUUUUCUUGGAUUUUUUCUCUCUCUGCUUCUGCCUCCUCCUUCUGUGUUUGACUCCUUGGAUAGCUAGAGAUGAUGAAUCCGUGUCAGCUUGGAAGAAAAAGGAAACUGAAGCAACCUGUGCAUUGUUUGUUCUGCGAGGAUGGAGUCAGCUUAUCUUCAGAGAAGAAAUGUGUCGGUGCUUUACAUGUGGAGAGUAAUAAGGAGAGUGUUUUACAUGUGCUUUAAAUGUGUCGGUGCUUUAUUGUUUCACAAAGCAGUCUGUCUUUUACCGUCCAUCUAUACUUGUAGACGAUUCGGAGGGAUCCACAUAUUCAGCGGUAUAUUACUCCUGCUAUUUGCAUGUAUAAUAAGCGAUGCUGUGGACAUCACUAAUUUUUGCUACGGUGUCUUAUGGUAGACUAUACUGGUGUUAAAAAAGACUAUUAUAAAAACAUCCGAAAAGUAAUUUAUAAUUGAAUUUUGAAGAUUUUGAUUUCAGAGAUAACCUAAAGUAUCGUCAAACGGUGGACUAGGUAGCAACCUUUUACUUGUCUCUGUAGGAUAUUGUAAUCAUCUUACGAGUCGAUCGCUCUCUUGAAUCUCUCAAUUCUCGAUCUAGAGGUUGUCUCCUAGCGAAGAGACUAACUUUUGUUCACCGGCAUGAUUAUUCUACGAGACGGCUGAGGUGACACCAUUAUCGUAUAUGCUCUUGAUCGUCAGAUAUUUCACGGAGGUCAAGGGAGGGUUUCUUUAAUUUUUUACUCCAAAUGUUUAGUGAUGCGGAUUGACCCUAAGCUCUUGUUCACCUCAGCACUUUGAAUCUUUGGCAAAAGGUCAUGGCGGUGUCACUUGCCUGUCUCCUGUACAUGGGACCGACGCUUCACACGCGUAGGACUAGGAGGCGACUCACUUGUCGGUCGUCCCGUGGCUAAAGCUGAAUAGAAUUCGGACACGAGGUGGUGCAUGCAACAACUCAAGGCCGGGCGUUUGGCCAUGUGCCGAUCGAACAGCUCUUGGCGCGUGACUGCGUGAGGUGAUCGAUCACGCAACUCUAAGUAGGACUCGAGGUGCUCGGAUGGCGCGUGCUGUCGAGCGGCGUAAGGCCGGCGGCGAACAUGGCUGCACCGCCGCACCGAGCAGGGAGGUGUCGGGAUGAGACGUCGUUCAUUUAGGUUUGGGUUACCCUAAUAACCCAAAAGGUUUAUCACUACUUGACCCAUAUUUGUUUGGGUCGUCCCAAUAGAUAUUUACACCAAAAAUUGUAUUUUGGGUACUGGGUCAUUGGGAAAAUCUGCAUCCCUAAUGGACAACAAUCCUACUUAGAGUGACGUUUUAUCAAAAAGGAAAAAAAAACGUAGGUACUGUUUCCAUAAAAGAUAAGUGAUUUUUUGCGUGUAGUUAACCAUCUCAAAUUUUGGUUACAGAUUACUUUAUAUAUUUUAAGUUUUUGCACGUUUGAAAAACGAUGAGUAGAUCUGUAUUGUAAAAAUAGUUUCAUAAUAAUAUACAUUUGUUAUACAUUACAAAUAUAUUAUAAAAAAAGUAGUCAAAGUUAUGUGUAUAUUAUAAAAAAAAUAGUAGUCAAAGUUAUGUUUCGGGCUGACCAAUGUCCUGUGUCCAACCUAUGGAGAUGCCCUGCUAAGUGCUAACCGCACUCGUUGGUUUCACUUAUUACUCACAUAAUGUAGUCCUUCAAUAGGAUCAAUUGUCAAAUCAUCAUGAUGAGGAUCCUUGGCUCCUACGUCCUACUACGCAUUGGCUGACCUUGGCUGCCGAUAGGGACGGGGAUCCCAUUUGCAUCCGUGAACUCAUCUUUCAGUGGGUAACAUACUGAAGUAUGGUACUGCAGCAAAAUCCUUUUCAUUGGUGUAGAGAAUCCAUGCCGCAUGCACUGACUUUUCCGCAAAGUGACAAAGAUGUUAUGUGAUCGGGGGCGGAUCCAGGACCCGGGCUAGGUGGGUUGCAGCCCGGGUCCAGCCCCUAUAGCCCCCUUUGCACAACCAUGUUAGAGACGGUAAAUUCAACUGCACGCUGUGAUAUCUCUCAGGCAAAAGAAACCCAGCAGGUUGAUAUCAGGCUAGUUCAUGGAGCAUUUCGUCUGCUGGAUAUUGCCUUUGUAAAUUGAUCUUUUUUCACGGACACCGAUCACAGCAUACAUUGAGGGGGUGUUUAGAUCAUGCACUAUUUUUUAUUCGGGUCGGAUCGGAUGUUCGAUAUCAAUUAGAAGAACUAAACGUGAACUAAUUAUAAAAUUAAUUGCAUAAGUCGUGGUUAAUUCGCCAGAUGAAUCUAUUAAGUCUAACUAAUCCAUGAUUAGCACAUAUUUACUAUAGCAUCACAUGGUCAAAUCAUGGACUAAUUAAGCUUAAUAGAUUUGUCUCGCGAAUUAGCCUUCAUUUGUGCAAUUAUUUUUAUAAUUAACCUAUAUUUAAUACUCCUAAUUAGUAUCUAAACCUUCAAUGUGAAGGAACUAAACUUUAGUCCGUGUCUUCGAAUGGGGCCUAAGUUCAAUCCAGGUCAGAGCCGAUUUCAAGAUCCGCCCCUCUAUGUGAUACACAACGGGUUAUGAGAUGGAGGGCCAUAGUUAGGAACUCAUUGUUAGAGGGGAUGAACAGUAGUAUUUUUUUUUUCAAAAAUUGAUAUUAUAGAGCUGUUCAGGUCCAAGUUGGCAACUAGCCUGUGGCACAGCUAAGGUCAGUCUCAGUGCACAGUUUCAUUCCACUGUUAUUAAGACCGUAAACUAGGUAACUGUGCCAGUUAAGUGUCAUGGGAUGAAACUUCUCUCAAAUAUUAUGAAACUCCUCUUCUCUUUUCUCACAAAGAUUUUGCUGAUGUGACAUGAGCCCGGAGGGAUGCACCGAUGCAUGAUGCAAAGAAGGCGUUGCUUGUUGUGUACAAGCGGGGUCAAACUGAACGUGCUAUCGCCUCGAGACUUGUGUUCAACACUCUGUUUAGCAGAGCUGGAACAAGCAAAGUCACUCUUUUUCAAAAAAUAAUAUAAAAAGUGUUAACAGUACCCCUCUAGUUAUGGCAACGUGGAUGCAAGGUGAUUUAAAUCCAAAUAUUAUGGUUUGUUUCAAAUUUAAAGUAGGUUUGAAAAAUGUUCUUGGUGCAACUUUUCCCAACUCGCGCAAACAGUAUGUGGCGUUAUGUCGAUCGACCUGCCGACACACGUACAAACUUUGACCGGUAUACACAAAUGUAGCAGGUUUGCGGCUGGCCAUUCUCAUCUCCCUGAGAAGUUUACACUAAAUCACCGGUGCAAAUUUACCCGUUCACCUGAUUACGCACGCAAACCACUCUUAUUGUACGCAUGCAUGCACUCUGGAGCACAAAACAGAGACAAACAAACGAGCCAAGGCUGCCAGCUGCAAAAAUAAUCGACAAGUUGGGUGUGCAGUGGUGUCCCGAUGGACUCAACCCAACAACUCUCUCAUGACAAAGCUUCUGCAAAGAUUUUUUUUUCCUUAAAAAAUUUGAGAAAACCUCUGUCAUGACUAGAGCAUGACAAGGAAGAGUACCGGACACGAACGCUGCACGUGUUCAGCAGUGCUGGCCGUCACACCUUUUUUUUCUUUGGAGAUGGCACACACGAUAUUUUUGCCGGCUGGUCAUCGUGCGAUCAGCGUACGCGAUCUGAUGGACAGCCACUGAAUUCUCAUCCAACCGUCGGUGGGUGAUCGAUCGGUAACGUACCUAUGUACAUGCUGUGGGACGGGCUGGGCUGGAGUUCAUCUCACCUGGCGUCUGAUGGUGGUUCAUGCUCCCUGCACCUCGUAGCAAAUUUGUCGUCGGCGAUAACAUUUUUUAUAUGGACUGCCAGAGCACUGCAAGCAACUUGUUUGACGAUGCUGGGUAAGUUCCAAAGUGCAUACCGUAGUCUUUAAUCAACUGAGCUCAGGAAAUGGACUGGUACGAUGUGCUAGAGAAAAGAACCAUAUCGGUUUCCAACUCUUACUCAAAAAAAAUUGCUCAGCUUGAGACCCAAGUUCACUUUUUUUUUUCUCCGAAACACGUAGUACAGACGCGGACGCUCGUACAUACUCGCCCCUACAAACAUGCACGCAAUCUUACCCUAUAAGUACCUUCGAAAGACUGAGCUGACAAACCCUCGAGAUUGACGAAGUUACCACUGGCACCUCGCUGUCGACGGGCACAUCGCCUACCAUGUGCUAGUUAAAUCAUGGAAUAUAUUCAGGAAAAUGUGAGCACCAGUGCUGAGUCGAGGACCUGAACUUUGGUCGGAAGGUUCCUCCACAAGGAACCUUACCAGUUGUCAGUGUUUAGAUUUGGCAACCUACCAAGGGGGGUGCCGAGGUAGUGUUUUGGUUGGUAGGGCUCGUCAAGAUCAGGAACUCGAAGGUAAACACAGACACACGAUUUAGAUAAGUUCGAGCUGCUAGAUUACGUAAUACCCUAUGUCCUGUGUGUUUGUUGUAUUGGAUUGCUUUGGAGGGGUUCAUACCUCGCCUUAUAUACACGGGGGCAGGGUUACAGGUCGGUUGAUUACAAGAAUUCUAAUUAGAUUCGACUAGAGAAGCCUUACUCUGUUACAACGAGUACUUUCCUAAUCCUCGACUACUUCCUAUCUUUUUAUGUAGACUACACCGUUCUGCGCCAUGGUCUUCAUGUCACAUUCAUCUUGGUGUCCAGCCUCGGUCUGUCCAAACCUUCUGAUGGGCCCAUAGAUGUAUGUACGACACCAGCUGAGCUACGCUCAGUUCGCAGACCAAGUUCAUUAAAAACAUCUAUAUCUAUCGGUUGACUGUACCUGGGUUUGUCCCCCGAUGCUACGUUGUAUUCCCUCCGUUGGUCAUUUUUGGUAUUUCUAAAUUAAUAACUUUUAGUAUCCAGAUGUAUAACAAAAAUUAAGAUUUAAAAAUGUCAAAACGAACUACAAUUUGGGAUAGGGAGAGUAUACUCCAAAACAACUGAAUUCAUAUGAACUUGGUCAGUUCUUGCUGAGAUAUGAUAAAAUCCCAAUAAUUAGGUGGGCCCAGUGCCUAUGCGCCCAACUUGCACCACACAUGGUAUAACUUGGUGCCUCACAGUACUACCCAAAAUAUUUGUAGUCACGCUCCUCUCCUCUUAUUAGGAGCGGACUAAGAGUUCUCGGCACACAAAACAAACUAGCAUUUACUGUAGCAUUUUGUCCAUACCUGAAAAUCAUUUCUAGGUGUGGAUCAUAGCUCGAGCCGUUCCUAUAGAAAUAGGGACAUAGCCCGCUCCUGCAAACGCAUAAACUGAAACAAUGUGAUAAAAACAUAAAUAGAAAAAGUUGCAAAACCAUGUUACCAAAUACUCCAUAAAUAGUUUUUCAUAGCGGAUGUGAAUCUUAAGUUAAGAUUCCAGUCAUCCUGGUGCGUAUCGGGGCAUCGGGCUACCUAUUUUUUUAACACUUCAAUUGGACAUGUAUAGCCGUGAAAAAUACGGUCAUGAACUGGCAAACAAUGGUACGGCCUUUGAUUGUUUUUACCUUUUGUUUCAAAACUUAAAUUAAUGAUCAAAACUAAACGACCACAAAAAGAGAAUGCCACAACAUACACGACACUUGUGAAUUCUAUGUCGCAUGUCACAACAUCACUUUCAAGUUUCCCUAAGAGGCUAGGAUCAUACUGCCCUCUUGGAACACAAGAUCGUGAACCGAAGCAGAGUGCAUGGCCAAGCUGACCACUGAACAGCCAACCAGAGUAGCAGACCGCUCCAACCAGAGUCUCCGGAUCCAAACAGAGCAGUGCGUAAAGUUCAGUCUUAGUUUAGGGACUAAAGAAACCAAACAGCACCUAAGCCUGGCCUAGUGGCGAGCAGAGACAAAGGAUUUAUGUGCCAUAUCCAGUCAAUCACACUCACACCCUGGCUGGAGCCCGCCCAUUUCCCUAAUAAGCAAGCUCCAGUUCAAUAUGGCAAGCAUGUAGCAACGCCAUUCGUUCAUGUUUUGCCUCAUGGUCAGACUUUCCAUAAGCCAUUGUACUGACAAUAGAGUUUUGUCUCAAUAAUGAAAAACUUCUUUUGAUCGCAUCACAACCGCACCGCUGCAGGACACGCAGCAUUCCCCUCUUCUAAUUCAACGAACCAACCCUGGCAGGCACGGUCAAUUUUUGGUCACCUCUGAUUGGUACCCUAUAAGAUGUGGCCAACUUUGGCAAUCGAAAUGAAGUAAUAAUGAACCAAAGUGGCCAGCGUAGGAGGCUACCAUGACAAAUUUUGACACCCAAUUAAAUGAUGGCCAAAAUUAGUCGAAGCAGUUAAAAUUUAGCUUGGGCACACUUUGGUACCAAACCAAACAUGCCCUAUGUGACCUCUAGGGCCAAUUCUCUACAAACAGUAGUCAUAAAUCCACACAAUGGAACUGGUUACAACAUGCCAAACCUUUGUACACCCACAAACAGGCCUGAAGUACUACACACACGCUCGCACAUGGAUAGGAUUUCCACCUAAAACCAGUGCUUCGGAUCCAGCCCAUAUAUAGCAACACUGGCCCAGCGCGCCUCGGAUGUUCGGCUACCGCCAUAUCAUCCACUGAUUUCAACUAGUGCUAACAAGACUGCUGACUAACAAGACUUAAUCUAGCUACUCCAUCCAUUUCAAAUUAUAGACCGUUUUAGCUUAUUUCUAAGUUCAUAGAUAUUAUUAUGUACGCGGACACUCCAAACAGCCUAUAAUUUGAAACGGAGGGAGUACAAAUUAGAUGCACGCACGGCUUAGAUUAAUCCACUAAGAAUUACUAACAAAGGAUUAUUGCUACAGGGCAGGCUGGCCGGGCCUACAGCAUGGCCAGCUUCUUGACGUUGAUGGGGUAGGCGUGCUCCGGCGAGCUGGAGCCGUAGCCCUUACGCGCGAUCACGGCGUUGACGGCGUCCGUCGGGUGCAGCCCGUCGAAGAACACGUACUCCGUCCGGUCCCUGCAGACGGGCCCUUGCUUCUCGCACAGCACGCCCGACGAGCUCCUCGACAUCUCGCAACAGGCCCUGCCCGUCUCCCUCACACCUGAGGAUUUUCACCAAAUAAAUGUAAAACAAAAUCAUUUUUGCAUCUAUAUAUAACCGUUGCGUGUCUACUGUGUUUCGAAAACAAAAAUUUCAUACUGAAACCGGAAGAAAAACGAAUCAUGUGGCUUGUUUUGUACUACCUGUCCUAACGAGCUGCAUUUAUUAGAGAGAGAUUUUAGGCAUUGAUAGAUGACUCGUACCGUGUUUCGCAGGGUGGUCCAGCAUGUCCUUGAUGAUCUUGUACGAGUCGACGUAGGCGAGCCUGGCGGCGGGCAUGCGCGACCUCGCGCCGUCGACGAGCCGCCGGAGCUCCGAGUUGAAGAGCGCCACCGCGUUGUUCACCGGCUCGAUGCAGGCGGCGCCGGUGAUGUUGAGGAACGCGCGCACCACGGGGGUGCACCCGGUCGGCUGGAUCGAGAAGAUCACAAACUUCCUCGCGCCCAGAGCGUACAGCCUCUGCAACGGCCAAACGAAGCAUGAAGCUUAACACUGCAAAUAUGUGAGGCCAUGAUAUAUAUUGUAAAACAGAAAAACUAUCCAUAUUUCACUGGUAAUUUUAGUGCUUCAUUAUGUGAUUUUUUCCCUAUAAAAAGAAACAAAUAGACAUGGGUUUAAGGCACAAUGGCCUGCUGGCCAGCGAUUCAUGUGAAAUCCCUGGCCGACCACAGUGAGUGGUCACUGUUGCUCUUCCUGAGUGCUUUGCAUAUUCCAUGCGACCAUGCCUUUACUACUGUGCUUCCUGACUCAUAUCAGUGUAUGUAUGAAUUAACUGACCAUAUGCACAUGUUUUUAAUAGCAUACCAGUCUGUCAUCCGCAUAUCAAGCAAUGGACACCAAUAUGGUCCAUCCAUGGUGGCCAGGUUGAUACCCCUUUAUUUGCUUGCAUUCCUAUGGUCUUUAUUUCCACAUGUCCUAGGAACUGUGGUUCUCCAGUCAGUACAAUUACUGAGCAAAUUACUCUACUGCCUGGUCAUCUGCGGCUUUAAUAUCUGUAACAACUAUGGGUACACUGCACACAGGGGCAAAACUGGCUGUACUGCACAAUGAGAUCAUCUGUAGCUCAUAGUACUACCAACAAUUUACCAUGAGCUACAGCAUGAGCAUGAACAGCCGCAUGAGAGGGUCUCUGCAGUUACAAGCAAGAGGCAGAGGUACCUGAAGAUGGGCGGAGAGCUUGGUGAUGAUAGACCUUGUGAACUCCGGCAAGGGCGGCGCGCCGUCGUCGGAGCCAUUCCUCCUGGGGUUGAAGUAGUUGAACAGGUAGUCGUUGCCACCUGUCCCAAUGAUGAAGAGGCACUUGGACAGGUAGCAUCGCUGGAAGGGAUCCUGGCCCUUGAUCCUGUGGUCGGUGGCGGUCGCCGCUGCUCCGCGCAGAUGGGCCCGCAGGUCAGGGAGGGUCACCGCCUCGAAGUUGCUGAUCUGCCGCCGCAGGCUCACCACCUCGCCCUGAAACAUCAAUGGAAGCGCGCACGUUGCCAUGUUUAAUUAAUCAUUGCUGCUACGAGUAUUAGUUAGAGAUUAAGUAGUUAAUGCAAGUCGUAGACUGACUCACGGUGAGCUGGCCGGUGUGGUCGAGGAUGCCGGAGCCGCCGGAGGCGAAGUUGACGCCGCGCAGGGCGGCGCGGCCGCGGGUGCGCGGGUCGGCGAAGGGCGGGACGAGCCCCGGGAGGUGGAGGAGCUCACCAAGCGCGUCGAUGACGUUCCGGCCGUUGGAGAACCGGCCGGAGGGGCCCAGCGGGAAGUCGACGCCGUAGGGGAGGUAGUCGGCGCGCACGCCGGAGCCGUUGAGGAAGUUGUUGUUGCCGUUGUCCACCAGCGAGCUCCCGAACACGAACAUCCCCUUUACCUGCGGCCGCUGCCUCCCCGCCUUGCCGCCGGAGCUCCUCCCCGCCGCCGCUGCUGCAGCAUCAGCAGCUCCGGCGCCGACAUGGUGGCAGCUUGUUGCAGCGGCUUCACACUGUAAGCGGAGUGGCAGUAGAAGCGGAAUGGAUAAGGACACGAUGGUCAAGAGGUAGACGAGCUGCUUCGCCAUGGAUGGACUAUUGUACUGUAUUUCGGUGAGCUUGCUAAGCUAGCUAGCAGCUCUAGCCUGAAGCUUGCCAAAAGCACUGCGUUCUGGCGCUGCUACUUAUAGGCGAUGGUGAUGAGCUGAUGAUGAUUCAAAUUCAAUGCUGGUAGGUUUGAGCAGUAGGUUAGAGAGAGAGGGAGAGGGAGAGAGAGAGACUGCAUGCAGUUACUGCGCACGUACAGCGAAAAUUUAAGCUGCUGCCGAUGCGUUUGUACAGGUUUGGCGCGAACGAGGGAAUGGGAUCUGAUGAGCUAGUGUCGCUGCAUUACAUUGGAAUCCUGGGAUUUACUGCGUCGAUCUUUGCAGAGCCGGUACUGUGGUACCGAGCAGCUCCCUGACUGAUCGGGCCGUUAUUAUUGCUGCAAGUGAUAGCAGGCAGGUGACAGCUGAGUUGCUGGCAUUCAAUGAACACUUGACCGGGCGUUAAUUUUGGAAUAGAAUCCCCCGUCUGUUCCCUGUGAGCCUGCAGUAGCUUAACUUCAGUAGGCCUCUUGCCUCUAGCAGUUGGACGGGGAAUUCCUCAAAAUUGACUCAACCGAGGUAAAUCCUGCAUCUUUUUAUUAGACCAUUCUCAAUAGAAAUUUCAUUUUCAUUAAAUAAAGUGCUAUGUCAGCAUUUUUGAUGAUAUGGCAAAGAGGUAAUAAAUAAAGAGGUGAAAUGAGUUUCAUGAGGAUGAAACCAGAUAUACAAGGUAGCUUGUGUCUUGCAUGUAGCCUAGGAAAUAAUAAAGAAUGAAAUAAUGCAUUGUAUGAAGCUAUUUCAACAAUGAAUUAAAUGUUCUUUUGCUUACGUGGUAGUUUAGAAACAUAAAUUGAAAUCAUGAAAAUGGCCUUACAAAUAAUACAAGUUUCCGAUAACAUCAGCAUAGUCUAUAAUAGCAAUUUAAUUGGUACUAAUAUCUAAAAAUACUCAAUAAAUCAUGUUUAGAUCCACCUAACUACACUUUAUCUAGCUAAUUACUAAAAUUUUUUAUUAGCUAGUUAAAAAGUAGCUAGCUUUUUUUUUAGGUGGAGUAUUUGGGUUCAACAGCUAAUUACUUGUUGUGACCCGCCAGAUCUGGUCGUUGAGUUGGGUGGAUUUGGGUGGCCGCCGCUGUAUAGCUGCAGGCGCAGCAGGCGAUGCAAUACCAAGGGCAAAGCCAGCUGGAGAACACACGAGAACUAACCUUCCAUCCAGGAGUUUUUAUCCCGGUUAACUUUAAACUCGGGACUAACAUAUCUUUAGUCCCGGAUAAAAAAUGAGCCACCGACAGGAGGAGCUUUAAUCCCUGUUGUAAAGAUCAACCGGGACUAAAACCCCCUUUAAUCUCGGUUGUAACGGCUAAAAAAUAUCGCACCGAUGGUGGGAGCUUUUGUCCUGGAUAGAAAUUUCAACCCAAAAUCCCACACCCCCCUAGUCCCUGUUGGUAAAGGGAGGGGCUUUAGUCCUGGCUGGAAUUUCCAACCGGGACAAAAGCUCAUCGCCUAUAAGUUCACCAGACCGAGAGCUUUUCUUCCUCCCCGAGCCAGAGCCACUCCACCAGAGAUCGAGAGCUUCCUCCUCCUCCUCUUCAUGGCGAGCCAGCAACCUUAGGGAGAGGUGCUGCCUGAUUUUUUUUCCUCAUUUCCGUGGGGAUUUCACUCAUCCAAAGUAUUGUAAAGGUUAGCUACUUCAUCAUUCCUUCAUUUAUUGUUAUUAUGCUUUGUUUUAUGCUUUAGAGAUAGAGAAAAAUGAGUUUUUUAGAAUGAGGGAGAAUGGAGAGGAUUUUUAUUUAUACAUGUUUUUGAGCUAGAAUUGGAUGGAUAGCUUGCUUGUUAUAUAUGAUUCGUAUUAGUUUAAAGAACUUGAUCAAUAUUAGGUAUAGGGAAAAAAUAGAGUAAAUAUGUUUUUAAUAUUUAGUCAUCACAAUAAAAUGAAGGUAAAUAAAUUGUAGGUGUAAGAAAUAGAAUUCGGUUAUUGCUACAAUUUUUCAUGUCACUGUAAUUUAACAAUAAUUGUAUUUCUUUGACCAAUAAUUUAUUUAUCUCAUGUUUAUUACAAGGACUAAAUAUUAUAAACACACCUACUCUAUUUUUUCCCUACCUAAUAUUGAUCAAGUUCUUUAUCUAAUAUGAAGUCUUAUAUUCAUUUUCCACGUAAUACGAUGCAGAUGGACCGGAAAUGGAUGUACUACCCUGCUCCUCCAAUCCCAGAGAACAGUGUUUGCACAUGGGAUGAAUAUGCUUACACUAUUCUAUGUACAUAACUCAACUUUCUACGAAGUCUAUGGAGAGUCACCUCCGCUCCUCCAGUACCAGAAAAUAAUGGUACAACAGAAGAAUUUCAAAUCCACAAACUUGGGCUAAAUUUGAUAAAAAAAAAAUCUUGAAAUAGUAUUCCAAAUGUCUUUUGGAGCCUAAUUCUCAUAAUAGAAGUAUGCUGGCCAAUAUCCUCUUCAGGCAGAGAUCUGUUCACUGACCUUUACCUAGCAGCUUUUUGUUGGUUUUGGCUUGCCACCAUGGGCCAUGUUCAGUGAACAGAUCUUUUGCCUGGACAGGCUAUUGUGUGUGUGCCACCAUACUUCUAUUAUGAGAAUGUGGCACUUGCUCUAAAAGACGUUUGGAUAAUUAUUUCAAGAUUCCUUUAUGAUAUUCAGCCUGAGUAUGUGGACUCGAAGGUCUUCUAUUAUACCAUUAUUUUCUGGUACUGGAGGAGAGGAGGUGACUCUCGAUAGACUUCGUAUAAGAUUGAGUUAUGUGUAGAGAUGGCUUUGAGGGCGAACAUUCUGCUAUGUUGUACUAUUAUUUUAGGAUAAUUGACUACGUGAAGUCCACUAUGAAGCAUCUGUAAUAUUUAGUGUAUAUGUAUCUUUAUUGUCUUGUUCCAGCAUUCUAUCAUUUUUCUUUUUGUCGACCUAGUGAAUGUUAUGAAUGUUGAUUAGUAUAAUUUUCAUGUGAAUUAUUUUUAUCUUUAUGAAUGUUGAUUGGUGUAAAUUACGAAUACCGACCAAGUUCUUUAUCUAAUAUGAAGACCUAUGGCCAUUUUUUACGUAAUAAUUUAUUUAUAUAAUAUUUUUUACAAGGACUAAAUAUUAUAAACAUAUUUACUCUAUUUUCCUCCUACCUAAUAUUGAUCAAGUUUUUUUAUCUAAUACAAAGACCUAUGUCCAUUUCUCAUGUAAUAUGAUGCAGAUAGAAUGAUAAUGGAUGUUUAAUGUGGACAGAUGGACCAAGGAGUUUGUUGAUGGCUUGCACGAAGUGGCCAAAGCCAACAAGCAAGAGAAGGGAUUCAUAUGUCGUCCAUACUUCCAAUGCAGUAACAAGAAGGACUACUCUUCUUGGGGGACUAUUCACAGCCAAUUGUUUAGAUACGAUUUCAUGCCUAACUAUUUGGUUUGGACCAAGCACGGCGAAAGAGGGGUUAUAAUGGAAGACGACGAAAAAAAUGAGGAUGAUAACAACAUUCCGGACUGGGCUGCAGGCUAAGCUUUUGCAGAUACUACAAUGGGCGAGGCUGAUGAAGAUGAGUUUGCAGAAGACGGCCCUAUUGAUGAUCUUGGUCAGGUGCUAUGGGAUGCCCAAAGAGAUUGCAAAAUAAAGAAGGAAUCAGAAAAGUUGCAGCACAUAAUAGAUGAUCACAAAAAAUUGUUGCACCCAGAUUGCAAGUAGGGGCAUAAAAAACUGGGUACCACACUGGAAAUGCUACAAUAGAAGGCAAAAAAUGGUGUGUCCGAUAAGGCAUUUCAGAGGAUAUUGAAAAUUGUACAAAACAAUCUUUUCAAAAAUAAUGAAUUGCCGUCCACAACAUAUGAAGCUAAACAGGUUGUUUUCCCUCUAGGAUUGGAGGCUCAGAAGAUACACGCAUGCCCUAAUGACGAUAUCCUCUAUCGUGGUGAUGAUUACGAGAAAUUGGAUGCUUGUCCUGUGUGCAGAGUGUUGCGGUAUAAGAUCAGGCGAGAUGAUCCUGGUGAUGUCGUGGGGCAGCCUCCCAAGAAAGUUCUUGUGAAGGUGAUGUAGUAUUUCCCUAUAAUACCAUGUUUGAAGCGUUUGUUCAUAAACAAGGCGAAUGCUAAGUUGAUGCGAUGGCACAAAGAAGAACGUAAGCAAGAUGAGAUGCUGAGACACCUCGCGGAUGGGGCCCAGUGGAGAUCAAUUGAUAGAGCAUUCCCGGACUUUGAAAGUGAUGCAAAGAACAUAAGGUUUGGUUUAAGUACUGGUGGAUUCAAUUCAUUCGGUGAUUUGAGUAGUGGUUAUAGUACUUGGCCUGUGACCCUAUGUAUGAUCAACCUUCCUCCUUGGCUAUGCAUUAAGUGGAAGUUCAUUAUGAUGCCGAUGCUUAUCCAAGGUCCAAAACAAUGUGGCAACGACAUUGACGUAUACCUAAGACCGUUGGUUGAUGAACUUUUACUGCUCUUGAAGGAAGAAGCUGUACGUGUGUCGGAUGAGGAUAAACAAGAGAGCUUUGACCUACGAGAAGUGUUGUUCGUAACCAUCAAGAAUUGGCCUGCGCUGAGUAACCUUUUAGGACAGACAAAUAAGGGAUAUCGGGCCUGCACCUACUAUUUAGAUGACACAGAUAAUAUGUAUUUGAAACACUGUAGGAAGGUCGUGUAUAUGGGCGAUCGUUAAUUUCUUCCUGCUAACCACCCGUUAAGAAAGAAAGGAUGCAUUUCAAAGGGGCGCCAGACCAUCAUAAAAAACCUGCACACCAUAAUGGAAAGCGUGUAUUUGAGAUGAUAAAGGAUGUAAGGGUAGUUUUUGAAAAGGGUCAUGGUAGCGAACCUGUUCUGAACAACGAUAAUGGAAGUGCACCCAUGUGGAAGAAGAAGUCUAUAUUUUGGGAGCUACCUUAUUGGGAAAUUCUAGAAGUCCGCAACGCAAUAGACAUGAUGCACCUGAUGAAAAAUCUUUGAGUGAACGUGCUAGGCUUUGUGGGUUGUUAUGGGAACUCAAAAAAUACAUUGAAAGCACGAUAGGACCUAAAACGUAUGAAGCAACGAGAUGACCUACAUCCGGAAAAGAGAGAUAACAGACAACACUACUUACGUCCUGCCAGUUACACUCUCAGCAAGGAAGAAGCAACGAGAUGACCUACAUCCGGAAAAGAGAGAUAACAGACAACACUACUUACGUCCUGCCAGUUACACUCUCAGCAAGGAAGAGAAUGAUAGCAUGUUUGAAUGCAUGAAUAGUAUCAAGGUUCCGUCUAGGUACUCCUUGAAUAUAAAGGGAAUAAUAAAUAUGAAAGAAAAGAAGUUCAUAGAUCUAAAGGCCCAUGACUACCACAUGUUGAUGAUCCAUUUGCUUCCGGUUGCAUUGAGGGGUAUUCUACCAGAGAAUGUACGAUUGGCUCUCAUAAAGCUAUGCGCGUUUCUCAAUGCGAUUUCGCAGAAGGCAAUCAAUCCAACCAGGCUACUAAAGCUAUAGAACGAUGUGGUUCAAUGUCUUGUCAGCUUUGAGUUGGUAUUUUCACCAUUCUUCUUCAAUAUUAAGAUGCACCUCCUGGUUCACCUAGUCAAAGAGAUUACUAUUCUCGGUCCAGUAUUCCUGCACAAUAUGUGGCCUUUCGAGAGGUUUAUGCCAGUCCUAAAAAUUAUGUUCUUAAUCGUGCCCGUCCAGAAGGAAGCAUCACCAAGGGAUAUGGAACAAAGGAGGCUAUUGAGUUUUGUGUUGAUUUUAUUGACUCAAUUAAUUCGAUUGAGAUUCCAACAUCACGCCACGAGGGGAGGCUACGGCGAAUGGACACCCUUGGAAGGAAAUCUAGUUUGAGCAAUGAUAGUGAUUUGUUCCAUAAAGCACACUUCACAGUUCUGCAACAAUCAUCAUUUGUGGCUUUGUAUAUCGAUGAACACAAGCAGAUUCUAUUUUCCCAAUACCCGACGAAAUCCAAUGCAUGGAUUAUAUGUCAUCACAUGGAUACUUUUCCCUCUUGAUUGCGUGAACACCUUAUGGGUAAUUCCACGAUUCAUGAACAACUCGCUUGGUUAGCCAGGGGACUUUUUAGCACAAUCGUGAAAUUUCAAGGUUAGGAGAUAAAUGGUUAUACAUUUAACAUGAGAGCCCAAGACAAAAAAAAUACCAACCAAAAUAGUGGUGUCCGUAUAGAUGCCAUAGACAGCAAUAGGAGCAAGGACUUGUGUUACAGUUUCGUAGAGGAGAUUUGGGAACUUGAAUACGGACCGCUGAACAUUCCUCUGUUUCGUUGCCGGUGAAGCUAACUGGAGGUGGCGUAACGAAAGAUUAGUAUGGAACGACAAUAGUGGACCUGACCAAGACUGGAUACAAUGAUGAACCAUUCAUCCUUGCCAUUGAUGUGCAUUAGGUUUUCUAUGUGAAGGACAUGUCUAGCAAACCUAAGAAAAAUUCAGAAGAUAAAGAAAAACCAUGGGAGCCAAAGCGCCACAUAGUUUUUCCAUGUAAAAGAAAAAUCGUGGGAGCCGAGGAAAAAACAGACCAGUCAGAUAAUUAUGAUCAGUUUGAUGGCAUGCCUCUAUUCGCUGUCGAAGUUGACCCAAACAUCAUGCUACCCAAAGAAGAGACUCCGUACUUACGCCGCGAUCAAGACUAAAUAACUUUUGUCAAGAAAAAGUUUUUUAACAUUACAUUGUAAUACACUAAAUAUGGUGCACCUUUAUGUAAUGCUCUAUAGCUAUCAGAACCUUUGAAUUAUAUUGUAAGGCUCUAUGGUGAACAUUUAUUCGAUCAAUAUAAACAAUGUUAACUUAACCACAUACAUCAAUUGCAUUUUUUACGCGUUGAAAUUAUUUAAGUGAAGAGUUUGUUGAUGAUAGUGAUCCAUUAAAAUAAUUAUUUUAGAAACUUAAUCGACUAGUAUAGAAUUAAUGAUUGAUUCAAACUUCUUUUAAAUAUACUUGCUAAUUUAAUAUAUUUUUGCAUGUUCAAAAUAUGUAAGUUUUUAUUUUUUUCUUUAACAAAACCAGUGCAAAACAACUUAAAACAUAUAUAAAUUAAAAUUACAAAACCAGUGGGAAAUGAAAACCCCCUUUAGUCCCGGUUGCAAUUUCCAACCGGGACUAAAGGGUGCUUUUUCAUCUCCCGCGCGAAAAGCAACCUUUAGUCUCGGUUGGAAAUUGCAACCGGGACUAAAGGGGGUGGGGCAUUUAGUCCCGAGUUGAAUUUGCAGCCAGGACUAAAGUCUCUUUAGUCCCGGUUGCAAAGUCAACCCGAGACCGGGGGGGGGGGGGGGGGGGUUAAGACAACCGCCCCCUUCUCCCCUGCCUCGUCUCCCACACUCUGCAAGAUCCGCGUUCCCGCUCUCGCUCAUCUCUGCUCCCCGCAUGCGCCUGGCUGUCAUCCGCCCACCCCGUCCGCCGUUCGAGUGCUCCCCGCCGUCCGCCUGCCCCGGUCGCCGUCGUCCGCCCGUCCCGUCGCCCACCAUCGUGUGCGCCCCGUCCGCCGUCGCCCAAGUCCUGGCUGCACCGUCCGAGCAGCCGCCAUCGUCCGCCCUGUCCGCUUGCCCCGUCCAAGCGCCCCCUUUCCCCCUCCCCCUCCCGUCGAGCCGCUCGCCCCGACGGUACAGGCCGGCGCAACCCCCCUCCCCGCUGAACAAGGGCUCUUGCUGACACAAGCACCGGGGCUUGUUGACGCAAGCGCCUUUUUUUAUUACUGUUUUCAAUGUGUAAUUACUAUUUAUAAUGUGUAAUUUGUAUAAAUUACAUUUAAUCCUUAGAAAAUUAGUAUGAACUAGUUUAAAUACUUAGAAAAAUCAUACAAAUUGGUUUAAAUACUUAGAGAAAUUAGUACAAAUUAGUUUAAAUACUUUGAUGUUCAAUGAUUUAUUGUUGAUAACUUGUGUUUUGAGGACCCUAUUAAUAAAAGACGCAAUAUCUCAUAUCUUUUGUGAAUUUUUUAUAAAUGAGGAAUACUUAGAGUAGUUCCAACAUUAUAUUUUUUAGGGUGCUCUAAGAAAAAGAGAGAAAGGUUAUUGGCAUUGUUUUCAACAAAGUUUCAUCAUUUGCUAAAAAAUAUUCCAGCCUAGAAAAUAGGUUAUCAUUGCCAAAUUUUCGAAAGGCAUUAUUGAUAUAGGUGCAUAGAUUAACUUAUCUUUUUGUAAUAUUUAUCUCAUUCAAUGCUAAUACUUGAGUUCAAUUCGAAGACAUGUUGGUGCUUUCAUAAUUUUUCAACAUUACUUUUAGGUUAUCUUACUCAUGCCAUGAAAUACAUGGAAUUUAAAUACCAUAUUAGUUUGUGUACCAUUUUAGAUUUAUGCACUACUUCAUUCAACCACUAGAAUGGUGAAGUUUUGGUUUCAUGAAAUCAACAAAAUCAAACUUUGAUGCUGAAUGAUUCAUUGAUGCUGCAUCAAAGUCUAUGAUAUAAUUUUUAAUUUAAUGUACUAUGAUUAAAUGUGUGUUUAAAUUAGUUGAGAUGGAAGACGAAGAGAAUGCAACGUAUAUAAUGGAGCAGAUUAUUGAUGGAGGUAGUGACUCCAACGUUCCAAUAACCUACAAUGAGGAUGAGGGUAGCUAGGUGGACAUGUUCCUCAACAUGUUCGGUGAUGGCAACGAUGAGCCCGAGUACCGUGUUGAUGACAAUGUGAAAGCAUCUAGGCCCCUAACUUGAUUUUGAUAAUUAAUGACGAUCUUUGUGGACUAACAAUUUCAUUGAGAAUAUGAAUAUAGGUUAGUCCCGAAAUUGAAUUGAGCUUCAAAAGAUGCUAUGGUGAUAGCUUGGAUGGGUUGUACCUUGGAAAGCUCAAGGCAAAGGUAUAUGGUAGAGUUUUCUAUUUUUACCGGUCAAGAGGUGCUUAGCGGAUGUAAAUUGACCGGAUUAAUAGGCUAGAUAGCCGUACUAUCAAGAGGGGUCAAUUUCAUUUGCUUGACGGUUUAAUAGUGCCACUUUGCUCAAACUAUUGCAUUGCAUGGAUAUGGACUGACAUAGUUUGAGAAAGUGAAAAAGAUGAGAAGAAAAAGAUGUAGAAGAGUGCUGACCGCAUAAAAGCGAAUGGUCUGCGCCUUAGAGGCGAACGGUCACCCUAACUUAGACAGAAGCAUGUUUUGGGGCUUAGGGGCUUUUGCUUAAAGGCGGACUAUCCGCAGGUGUUUGAGCGGACCGUCCGCAGUUUAGAAGUUCGAACUGGCCACGCUGAAAAGUAUACCGCGGACGGUCCGGCCCUAUAAGGGUAGACGGUCCACCACCUCUGUAACGAUACAGUCUGAUACGCAUUCAAUAUUGAAGUAGCCGUUGGACUUGAACGGCAGACGGUCCGACCCCUGUGAGGUGGACGGUCCGCUAGUCCCCAGUUUUCACGACUUUGUAAUCCAACGGCUAGUUUUGAAAGAAAAGGCUACAUAUACUUCACCCCAGGGCAUGGGUGAGUUCUCUUGGCACUUUGGAAAGCUUGUUUGACAUUUUUGAGCCUUUUUCCACCUCUCACUCACUCACUUUUCUUAGAGAUUGCAUUCUAGUGAGAUUGAGAGCAUCCUAAGGCAUUGCGUCAAGAGUUUGAGCUUUGUGGCACUAGGGAGUCUUCAAGCAAGCAUCAUUGGCUUGUUACUCUUGGAGGUUGCCGCCUCCUAGACGGCUUGGAGCCUGUGGAGCCAUUGAGCCCUUCAAGGAAGAUUGUGAAGGAGUCCCGGCUAUUCUUGUGAGGGGUUUAUGCUCACCUCGCUGGAGUGGUGAAGAGCAAUAUUAGUGGAAUCGAGGUUUGGAGAGGUUUUUUUAUUCAAGCCAGCUCAAACAUCAAGCGGUGUCUUGAUAGAGGAGUGGUUGAAGCAUUGAAUCGACCUCAACGUGGAUCAGGGGUGACCGGCAAGUCAUCGACAUCACGGGAAAAAUUUGUCUCUUGUGUUCGGUCUUCUCUUUGCUCAAUCUCUUUAUUGCAAUUUACUUUGAGCAAAUAUAUUCCUAGAGUUUGAUUUGCACCUUGUCACCCUAGGUUGCAAAACCUCACAUAGUUAUAAAGUAGCUAGAAAUAGUUUUCCUCUUGUGUUACUAAUUAAAUUUAUUUAGUGUUGUGAUUUUAGUUGAAACCACCUAUUCACCCCCCCUCUAGUCGGUAUCCUAGAUCCUACACAAUGCAGAACAAAACCUUGCCGUGAUGGAAGGUUGUGGUGAGGUAUAUAUCAUUUUCAUUAUUUUACCCCAUCUGUAAUUUCAUAUUCAUUUUUACUAUGUACUAAUUAAAGAAUCUUGAACUGUUAGCCCUCUCGAUCGAUGAAGCGAAAUAAGCCAUGAGAUCGUACAAAGAUAAUGGAGGGAACACUUCACAUCACCGAAGUGACAGAAGAGGGCCAGCCAAUUGCUCUCGAAAAAGUGGCUAGAAAGUUCGUGAGUCAAUGCGGGGCUAUUGUAAGGGACAACGUGCCCAUCAGCAUUAGAGAAUGGAAGGGUAAAUAAAAUGAUCCAUACAUGCUCCCGCAAACACAAAAGGAUAUGUUGUGGGCAGAUGUCAAGAAACACUUCACACUUCCUGAAGGUUUCGAAGAAAAAGAUGUGAAAGAGUGGAUGCUGAAGAAGAUGGCAACCCAAUUCCAGACCUUCAAGAAGAAUCUGGAAGCCAACUUUAUCAAGAAGGGCCAAACUCUAAAUUUCGAUGAGUGGUCAAAGUUAAGGGACCACUGAAACUCAUUUCUGGAAUACAAGAUGAGUGAAAAGUAGUGCGAAUAAGGUUCGCAUCAACUCAACUAAUGCCCAGAAGAAGGAGUACCAUCAUCGUCUAGGGUGAGGUGGUUACAUAAGUGCAAUUCCCAAAUGAAAAAAAGAUGGAACAAGAUCUAUUCGAUCGAGGUAUCGUACCAGCGACUAUUGACUGGCCCGAUCGAUCAAAGAAUUGGUAUUACGCUCAUGGAGACAACCUGAGCCAAGAGGAUGUGACACUUAUGUUCAACGAAACAAUACAUAAGAAGGCCAAAAGGCUUAUCCAAAACAUUGAAGAUGCUAAAGCGGGAAAGUUGAAGGUUGAUAGAGAGAAUGAUGAGCUCACUUGACGCUCGGGAAUCCCGAACACCCAUGUUGCCGAGGCUUUGGGGUCAUUUUGUGAAAGUUUGCUUUCCGUAGGGACAUCGACACAUAUACAAGCUGCAAGUGAAGAAAAGGAACAACAAGAGGAGAGCUGGCGGCGCAUGUUAGAAGAUAAAGUGCAUUCACAAGAAGUAAGAAUGCAGGAAGAAAUUAAUCGGUGAGUAGCCCUGGCAGUUACUGAGAUGGCCCAAUUUGAAGCACUGCCGAUCCCAACGUCAUCAACCCUUCUCAAUGACGAAGCAGCUAUGCUUCCACAGGGGUCCCCAAUGAGAACAUGCCAAGAUUACCCGUGGUUGCGCAGGACAACCAACGGUGAUGACAUCACUCAACGCACCUCAUGUGAGCUUUAUAGAUCAUUCAGCAAGAUCACUAUUAAGGUAUACAUAUAUAUAAUGCAAUCUUCUCAAUUGAUCCACGCCUCGGAAGUUUAAUAACUUCUUUAUUUCUCCUAUAUGUACAGGUGGCGUAUGAAAGUGUUUUACCAAUCCUGCCAGGUCAGACAAGCCAUGACAUGGAGAUUCCACCUGGCUACUCCAACAUUAGCCUAGAGCAGAUUUGUGAUAGUCAAUAUGAAGGCCUAGAGCUCAACCUCCCGGGAGGUGACGGGGAAGGGCACUAAGAGAUGCACUUCACGGGAUCAUUCUAUGGCACAAACCCAUCAUCCCCGGCAAGGAGGCAUCAUUGCUCCCCGUAGAUCCCCCAUAGCGACCAUCUCCUCAGAACUUAAGACCGUCAUAUCUAGCACAUCCACCUCAAGAACCGUUGUCACCACCGGUCCCGUCACAUCCUCCUCGAUCACCAUCUCCAUCUCCACUGGUGGUGCGAGCGACGACAACCACAACAUCCCUCUCCGAUCACUGUCACCGGGACUAAGACCCGCAACGAUCAAGGAACCUGCAACACCUCUGAAGAAGCCACAACCACCGCCUUCCAAGCCAAGGCAGCCAAAGGAGAAAGAACCUGUUAAGAAAAUAAAGAAGUCUGAACCCAUUCAGAACCUACCAGCCGAUAUGACUACUAAGGAAUUGUGGAGGUAUCGCAAGCAACGGUGAGGGAGUUCUUCAAAGCAUGCGUUGAACAUAGAAAAGCAAAGGAGAUGGAGGUAAAGCCAGUAGAUCCAUCAAAAUUAAAUUUUUUUAUUGGCAUAAAAAAAAGAAGUCAAGAGGACUUUACUAUCGAGCUACAAGCGUUUGUUAGUUAAGUUUGAUAAGAAGAAAAAAUGACGAGGAGCGUCGUCUUCCAGUGGUACUGUCCCCCAACUCGGAGAGCAAGUAGAUAAAGAUGCUCAAACUAUAGCAGCAAUGGCCUUAGAACAACAAAUCCAAGUCAUUACGUUUAUGCAAGAUACAGGUAUGUCGCUUGCUGAAGUUCUAGGGCAAGUACAACCGCCAGCUCUAGAAAAGAUUGUACCUAAAUGGCCUUUUGAGGUAGGCAAGCCUCUAGUUAGGCCUACACUAGUACGAAAGCUCUCUACGAAGAUGUACAAAUUCCAUCAAUGGUACAAGGAGUAGUUUGCCAACAAAAGGCUCAUGUUCGCUCUUCGUGUUAAACCGAUUAAUUUUUUCAGCAAAGUGAGAAACUCCUGUGGAUGGAAUUCAACGAUAUAUAUGAAGUGUACCACAAGGAUGCCCUUGACGUCUCUCUCAUCAGCGCUUGGGUUUUGUAAGUGUCUGUUUAUCAAGACGUAAAUUUUGGCUCAGAUCAUUAUUUUAUGUGUGUGCGUCGUCUUAUUAACUUUAUCUUCCAUUUUAUGUAGGAUGCUAAUUCAAAGGUGCCGUAGAGAAUUGUAUUUCAACAUUGGCUUCAUGGAUCCAUCAAUCGUUAACCAAAGCAGAUAUGGGAUCAACCAAAGCAAACAUUGGAGGCAAUAUACAAUUUCUUGGAGAAACAAAAUUACAAGAAAUACAUACUACUGCCAUACAACUUUAAGUACUGUCUAUUUUUAUUUUCUUUUUCCUUAAUGUUAGUUAGCUCUAAUAUGAACAUUUAUGUACUUAGUUUUCACUGGAUUCUCCUAAUAAUUAUGAUUGAUUAAAGCCACGUUAUUAUGUUCGAUUCAUUGAGGAAACUACCGGCGGAGUAUGAAGACAUUCAAGACAUGCUAAACUUGUAAUAAUUCUGGACCUUUAUCUCUAUGCAAAAGUUUGUUUCUUAAAUUUUCACCUAACACUAUAUCAUUCAUUAUUUUAAUCCAUAGCACAUGGAAAUGAUUCCGUAAGACUCACCAUGGUGAAUUCACAGAAAAACUUACAUUCAAUCAACGUUCCCGAUACGUACGAAGUUUGCACAUUUUGUACAUUCUAUAACACAAAUAUUUCAUAACUUGUUUUUUUCCCACUAAAGUACUUGAGGCAGGAACAAGGCAAUAAUUUAUGUGGAUACUACGUCUGUGAGCACAUGUACAAUUUUGUGCAUGACAAGGUGCUGUCGUCGCAUGAUAUAGAUGUACGUAAAAUAAAACUAUCAAUAAUUAGUUAUUUUCUAGCUCCUUAUAUUUAAUUGUUCAUGUAACAUUCACAUAUUUUCAAAUUACAGAUGAUGGAUAUUCAAGAAAGACUUUUGGAGAAGGAGAGGAUUUUGGCAAUCCAAGAAGGUCUCAUAGGAUUCCUGGUGGACGAGAUGAUAAAUCCCGCAGGAGAAUUUUAUUACGACAGAUAUUCAAUAGCUGAAUCGAGCAACAUUGUAUAAAUACUAGUUUGAUGUGUAUAAUAUAUAUAGUACUGUCAUGAAAUAUAUAUACAACUUGCAUACAAUAUUAAUAUGGAAAAGAAUUUUGAAAAAAAGUCUUAAGUACGCCCCUUUAGUCCCGGUUGGCGUGCUUGCGCCUGCGUGGCCACCCCUUUAGUCAAUGACCUGGGACUAAAGGACCCAUUUUUAUCUCGAAAACUUAGUCUCAAUUGGAUUUUCGGGAUCUAUGACCCUAUCCAACCGGGACUAAAGCCGUGUUUUCCACUAGUGCGUAACUCCUUUGCAACAAUGGGAAUCAAGCAUAGAAUCAAUAGUAUUCUGUUAAGCGAUUCUAGAAUUUUGUCGGGUCAACUGACCCCGAUGAACUGGCCUAGAUCAUAAUAUCACGCUAGGUGAUGCAGCACCACGCUGUCUCGCAUCCCCGUCGUUGCCUUGCUUGGCCACAGCAGCAUGAGCCACACACACGUGGGCACUGGACACCACGUCACAAACAAUUUUUGCUGGCGGGCAAAACCGGUUUCUGCUGGCGGGUUUCGCACCCGCCAGCAACUCACAGUCAGUACAGUUCCAAUUUGCACUGGCAGGUGCUUAGGUGGCCCGCCAACACAGAUUUUUUGGGAUAAUAAAAAAAGCCAGCACCGCAACCGCGGCCGCUCCGCCGCUCGUCGUCGGAGCCCAGCGCUCCUGGAGACCCGCCGCCCGCCGACGCCGCCCCGCUCCUGGAGACCCGUCGCCUGCCGGCGCUCGCACCCACUAGCCGCCGGCCGCCCGCCGAUGCUGCUCCUGCUCCUAGAGACCCGCCGCCCGCCGACGCCGCCCCGCUCCUGGAGACCCGUCGCCUGCCGGCGCUCGCACCCACUAGCCGCCGGCCGCCCGCCGAUGCCGCUCCUGCUCCUAGAGACCCGCCAACGCCGAUCCCACUCCUGGAGACCCCGUCGCCCGUCGUCGCCACCCACCGCUCCCACUCCUAGAGACCCCGUCGCUCGUCGUCGCCGCCCACCGAAGCUACACCCACUAGCCACCCGCCGCCCGCCGAAGCCGCUGCUUACCGCCGCCCGCCGAAGCCGCUGCUUACCGCCGCCCACCGCUCCCGUCGAAGGCGCGCCCACCGCCGCUCCCGCCACCCGCUGAAGCCGCCGCCGCUCCCGUCAAAGCCGCCGCUCCCGCUGCCCGCCGAAGUUGCACCCACUGCCGCUAUCGCCCCCCGAAGCCGCCGCCUGCUCAUGCCGCCUGGAGAGAUAAGAUAAGGAUGGGAUAAGGGAGAUGGGAAGCCAACCUCGCUUAAGAUAUGAGAUGUAGUGGGCUCUGUGCUAGCGGGCGCUUAGGUAGCCCGCCAGCACAGACGGCCCGUCACCUUUGUGCUGGCGGGUACUAAUUUCGUCUGCCGGCACGCUAAUUUCGACGUGUUAGUACAAGUCGUUUCUGACGUAGUGGAAGCCCAUGUCGUCACCGUGCCUCCACGCUCGAUUAGGCAUCUCAUAUCUGGGCGAGCUUGUUGCCCAUGGCAAAACCAGCAGGCCCUGUCACCACCAUCCUCGUCGGCUGUCGGGCUUCCGAUAGCUACCUCUUGCGAUGGCAGGGUCAUAGAGGAGAAGGGCCUGACUGCGUAGGGUUACGGGCAUCGCCUGAGUCACUCUGGGGCGAGCGACGCAGGGGCAUGAGAUUCCGUCUGGGAUAAGAUAACUCUGUAAGUCCUAAGAAGAUAUAAUACAAAGGUCUAAAUGUUUUUUAUAUGCUAUAAAAGAUAGAAAGAGAAAAAAUAUACAGAAUGACAUAUAUAAGAGAAGAAAAUGAAGAAAUAAAGAACACAAGAACCCAAUACUCAUGCAUCUUGAAAACAUCCCGGUAAUUCAGAAUUUAUUAAGAAUAAAUAAAACAAUUGUCAAACUGACGUCAAUGACUGUUCCAUUUCUUCUUAAUUUCAUAAGAAUAUGAGAAUACUAGUAUUAUAUAACAAACUCGCCCUAACCAGCAGUUUUUUCUGGGUGGUCCAAUAAACCAUGAAACUGUGAAUACGUAUGUUUACCAUAAGGAUACUUUUAAACACACUUCAGACGCACAUAUAUACAAAUACACUACUUACUCUUUACGACAAUGCUCAUAAAUCAUAAUAUCCUAAAGAUUUAGUCAAAUUUCUCUCACAUUCAAACGAUUAUUUUUAUGUCCUUCUCUGAGAAAUGAAAUCUUAUGCUGAAUUGCUACCAGUAGAGUUGAGGAGUUGAGAUGGGUUUUGAAACAUGGCCUGUUCCUGUAAGGCGCAACUCAAAACAUCUCCAAUCCCUCGCUUGGCCCCACAUACUAGUGUUCGCCCUGUUCGGCUGGACUUAUAAGCCAGUUGAAAAGCUAAAACGGCUGAUUUGUUAUGAGAGAAAAAUACUGUUCGGUGGCUGAUAAGCCGGCUGAUAUGCUAAAGCGAAGAGGCUGGUUGUCCUCAUGUGAUAUUCACUUGACCCCUCUCACUCGCUCCCCUCAUCGUAACGGCAAAUCUGGUGCCACUCACCCGGGAAAAAAAAAGAUAUCCCCUCACCGACCGUCCACGCAGACCGCACACUCAUCCCACUGCCAAUCGGGCCCACUUACCCACGCCCCACAGCCCAGUGAAACAACCGUGAAACCCACCCCCCACCACCGGAAAGUAUUCCGCACACGCUCCCCGACCCGCUCCGUUCGUCGUCGUGUCGACUGGGUCUUCAUCCACCUCCCUUCCCUUUGCUCCGUCUCCAUCGCGCGCCCCUCGGGAUCUCGCCUCGCGGAGCUGGUGCCUCGCGCGCCGGCGGCUGCUGCGCGCGCGGUAGGUCGGUCCCCGGCGGGCGAGGUGCAGGAGAGAUCUCCUCGCGGAGUUAGGGGCGGGGCGGGCCGUGGGAGAGGUUGCUGGGGCCGAUGGGCGGGGCGGUCUCCGGCGGCGCGGCGGUCGGGGACGCGGCGGGGGCGACGACGUACCCGGUCGUUCUCAACGUGUACGACCUGACGCCGAUCAACAACUACCUCCACUGGUGCGGGCUCGGGAUCUUCCACUCCGCCGUCGAAGGUGAGCGCCAGGCCCGAAAUGGUGAUCCUUUCCGGAGGGGAUUGUUCGGUUCCGAGAGGAAUGGGUCCGUAGGUCGUAAUGUUCUCUUGACUUUGGCAAUUAGAUGCGAUUUUAUUGGAAGCCAUGCUUUUGUUCCAUGAAAAAGCGAGUUCCUUUUAGCAACCAGCAGGAUCUUCGAUUGGUUUGAUACAUGUUCGAAUUGACAAUGGAGAAAGUUUUUCCAUCUUGAGAUUCUAACCGAGACAUAAGCUAGACGACAUGCUGGAAUGAUUGGAUUAGGAAUAUUGGGCAUCCAUCCUGCUCGGCAUCUGAUGGGCUUUGCAAGCAAUGAGUAGUUUCCAAAUAGACCUAAGAUUAUCAAUUGCCGCUUUGAAAAUAGCAUGACACGCGAUAAUUUUGUUUGUCUUUAUGAAUGGGCUCUUUUAACUUAAUUAUGGAGAUACCUCGUUAGCACUUUAUCACUUUGUUUUGAACAAACUUGUUUAUUUGUUAGCUUACUUAUAUGGUUAUAUACCAACUUUCUUUUGAAUGUGUCAUGUGAUCAAUCCUUUUACAGUAAUUCUUGCGCAUUAGAAAAAAGAUAUAUUUCACAAACUACACUAACUUCAUCAAGGCUAUCACAAAAGGGCAAACACACUUUUGAAGACACUAUUUUAAAGAACCACACUUCUCUUUCCCCUCUCAAAUAUGCAGGAGAGCUACGCAUCAUUUCACUAAACUAGUAGAAGAGAAAAAAAGUAUACAAGGCGAAAGCCUUACAGGACUUUACGACACACAGACUCUAGGAAAUAACCCAUCCGGGAAAAAAGGACCAAGGAAAACACCACCUAGUCUAUUCCCAAGAACAGACCCUGGAGCUCCCUGGCUCUGGUGGCACACCAUAAGGUGCCUUCUUCCUUGACAUCCCACACGACCUUGUUCACAUCUGGAGAGGCAGCAUUAAGGGCGUGUUUGGAUGGCUACCGCACUGCACCACAUGUCCCCACACCUCAGCUACGGGCGCAGCUCGUGCGUUUGCUUGCAGCCGAGGCUUAGGCACGCCGAAGAACCACCACAGAGUGCUAGUUCAUUUUUGCCACUGCUGCUCACCAAAAGUGUGGCGGACGAUUCGUCCGCUGUCCUGUGACGGCGUCCAAACAGGCCCUAAAGACACCAUCAUUACGAUACUUCCAUGAUAUGGGCGUUGGUUUAGCAAGGGACAGAAAGUAAUUAGGCACAAGAGAUAAACGAAACUCGCCCUCUCGAUGGAGGCUCUGAGUUGAUUAGGUUUAAUUCUUGCUUGCUUUCCCUGAUUGCCUUCCCCUCAUAUGUAUAGGGUUGGCACAAUUACAAUCUCGCAGGCUUACAACUCCUUUUCAACUCUAUCUCUAACAACUGAAUCCUAACAGCUUAUCUCUCCUAAUCGUAAUCCAAACAACUUCCUAAACAAAUAUCUAAACAAACCGACCAAACAGGACUCAAGAGGAACUCUGCUUCUUCUUCUUGUGAGAGAACUUCCUGCCAGAGAAUGCAUCCAUAACAUUCCACAUUUCCCAUGAAACAAGGAUGGUCAGCAAAUUAAGCCCCUUUCAUUUCUGUUUGUCCACUUCAUUGAGGGAGCGACUCCACCAACUAGAGAAACCUGCAGCUUCAGAAUUGGGUGAAAUCCUCCCAUGCCCAGCCCACCAAAGAAUGAUGAACCAAACUUGCCGAACAAUGGGCAAUUCACUUAUACUUCAACAGCAGAGGACAAGAAUGUGUUGUCUGCUAUCAUCCACUUGGUCACUUAGGGGACAGUGAGGAGGAUGGGGAAGACCUCAGCCUAUCUGUCCAACCUCUUUUCAGGACAGCCAACCAAAUGAAAACUUUUGCAGCGAAGGUGCGCCCAUGGAUUUCAAAUCUGUUUUCAUAGUGCAGAUCUGAUGGUGCCCACAAAGAAAGCCUUAUGGGUUGAUUUGCAAGUGUAGGUCCCAGCCUAUCUGCUGUCCAACUUCUUUUCUGGAUAGCCAACCAAAUGAAACUUUGCAGUGAAGGGGCACCCAUAAUUUCCAAAUCUGUUUAUGAUUUCCAUGGUGCACAUCUGAUGGUGCCUACAAAGAAAUCCUUAUGGGCUGAUUUGCAUGUGUAGGUCCCAGAACUAGAGAACGUCCAGAUAUGCUGAUCUUGAGUAUCAUUUUGCAGAACCACAAUUCAGCAAAUAUUCCUAUGUGGCUUGUACAGUCAAGGCUCCUCUAAUAUCAGGCACCCUUCUACCAGAUCCCAGUUCAGCAAAUAUUCCUACGUGGCUUGUACAGUCACGGCUCCUAUAAUAUCAGGCACCCUUCUACCUAAUCUAAAUUGAGCAAAUAUUCCUAUGUGGCUUGUACAGUCAAGGGUCCUCUAAUAUCAGGCACCUGGUGAUGGUUAUCAAGAGCUUUUGCUACUGUCAAUUUGCAUAAAGUUUCACAAACCACACUACCACAAUUUUAUUUCAUUCUUUUACAAAACCAAACAUUUUAGCUCUGUCUCUUCACCUUUGUGAGCUGACCAGUGAGACCACUGUUAGAGAUGAAGGAAUGCUUAAAAGUGUAGUUUUGUAAUGCUUAAAAGUUUUGUGUGGUUUUGCUUAGAAAGGUUAGCUUAAUUGUGUGGUUUUGUGGUAGUUUUAGGACUCUAGUGUAGUCCUGCGAAACUUACUGAAUUUUUUGGUGGUUACUGUAGUAAAUUACCCACUUAAACUUUUGUUGUAAUGGGACCUCUGCUGUGUUGUCAAUAGAUAGGCUUAUAGUCUUGAAAGUGCCCUUUAGGAUUCAUGAUGAAUUAGUUGAAACUUCAGGUUCCAUGGGAGAUAUGCCAUUUCAUAAAAAAAAUACUACCCUGACAUCCAUAUGCCAUUAAAUAAAAAAAAUAGUAUUUUGCUGAGACACUCCAUCUAUAGUGUUCUAGUCCAAACUUCAAUUGUUUCAAGUUGCAAGUUCUUGAAAAGUCUACCACUCUUAACCUGCAAUCCAGUAUACAUUUAUUUGGGCAGCUAAUUUUAGUCCAUAAAAGAAUAGUUGUCAUUUUGCUCUAUCUAUCAACCAACUCAAUUGUUUCUAUGUUUUCAUAUGUUCAAGACUUUCUUUUGAUAAAGAUAGAUCUGUAAAUGUCAGUAAAUUUUAUUCUAUUUACCAAUUGUGUAUCCAAUGGUAGAGCGAUAAAUUUGUGAAGCACUAAUCCAUUACGAUCUCUCUCUGUAUUUUUGAGGGAUUACUGCACAAAUUUCCCUGAAUAUGCAUGUACCCGUGAUGAUAUUGUCAUCAUUUUAUGAUGAGGAUCAAAAUUUGAUAAGUCUUUUCAUGUUGUAUUUGGAAACAUUUGGUCCAUCAUUAUGCAUCAACCCCGUCCACAUGUCCAAAUUGUUUAUGUUUAUGUUACUCUGUUUUGAACAGUCCAUGGAUCGGAGUACAGUUUUGGAGCACAUGAUCACCCAUCAAGUGGGGUCUUUGAGGUGGAACCAAAGAACUGCCCGGGCUUCAUAUACAGAUGUACGAUUUUCAUUGGCAGCACAACUAUGAAUCCCUUGGAAUUUCGAGAAUUCAUUCAGAGAAUGGCCUCAGAAUAUCAUGGAGAUACUUACCACCUCAUUUCCAAGAACUGUAACCACUUCACGGAUGAUCUUAGCACCAGAUUGACAGGAAAAACAAUUCCUGGUUGGGUUAAUCGACUUGCAAGGCUAGGUAAUAAAACAUGUGCUCCUUGUAAAUUAUUCUCUGAAAGUUUCAAGGAUUGUAUUACUUCCCAGAAGUAUAUCACACUAUCACUUAGGUGUCUUACGUUGUUGUAUAAUGAAUAAUGUUCGUGGAAAAUCAACAGAAGUUUGACUUGUAGUAUCUCAUAGUUCUAACUACAGGAUUAUCCUGAUUAUAAAUCUAGUAUUCUAGUUAAGAAACUAUAGAUGGGAGAAGAUGACCAUACUGAAAUGUAGAAGAUGGCGCCCAUCUUCUUCUGCAGAUGAACAUAGGCAUGCUCAAGCUUUAGGAAAAUGGAUGGAGCAAUAGUAUCUGAUAUCAUGUAAUGAUGGGAGUAAGUUGUAGAUAAAGAUGCUGAGGGCAAGUAUGGGAUUGUUUUAGUGCUCAGGCAUGGGAGGAGACUUGUUGACUUGUAGAGAAAGAGUGAUGGCUAAACAGAGUACAAGGAUUAUUUGGGGGUGAUGAGACACAGAACUAAGAAAUGAUUAGAAUCACAAACACACCUUAUUAAAAAAUCAAACUAAUUUUUUUAUUAGUGCUUCUAAAUUUGUAUGGAAAUAUCUGCAGUUGCUUUUACUCCAAAUUAUGAUAUAAGAUAUUUGCAAAUCUAUGAUCAACAUGUCAUCAAUUCAUCGGUAUCCACCUGAUUUAAUGUAUUAACACACAGUUUCUGAAACCAUUCUGGAUUCAAAUAGUUCAACCAACAUUCUGCAUGUUUGCAAGCAGAAAAGGUCCAAGUUCUUUGAAACUCAUACAAGAUCAGCUGUGAUCGUUGAUGGCUACUUAUCCUUUGCCCCAGCAAUACACUGCUCGUCAGUCUUGACCAGAAUCUGAUAAUGAAUGUUGACCAGAUACCAGUUUUUUCCUCAUGGGGUUUAUGAGGCCUCAGGAGAAAACUUCAAAAAGAAAAAAAAACUAACCAUGAGCCAGAAAAUACUUGACUCCAGUGUCUUCCAUUCUUCGAGUAGUAUUUUUGGAUGCAACCGGUUUAUUGACAGAUGAAGCACACGAUCAUGUAUGAAAACAUGUAUCUUCUUUUCUUGGUUGAAAAGAAACAUCACAUAUUGAAAUGAAAUUUGAGUUCUGUAUUUCUGUCAACCUUGGUUUACAUUGGAGGAUAAUCCAAAUUAUUUUCAGGGGCCUUUUGCAAUUGUCUUCUGCCAGAAAGCAUGCGGCUUGAGUCAACUGAGACAAAGCAUCUUGCGGACUGUCGUUUCUCAGGUACAUACUGAUGUUCCCUGUUCCCUAUUUGUUACAACUGGUAGUUUAUCAUUCUAUUUAUAAUUGUCAAUCUCAUGUAUAUCCAUCUUGCUGUCAUAUGACAUGUAUACAUGGCUCACUGCUGUCCGGUUUGGUGUCUUUACAUCCUAAUGUUAUCCAAUGUCAUGUUUGUAUGCCUUAUUGCAUUCCUUGACUUUUAGAUGAUUCCCACACAACAAGCAAGGAUAAUUUUGAUGAAGAUGACUUGGAAGACAAACACCUGCUUCCAACAUCUUCUGUUGGUGAAGAUGCAAUUGUAAAAGAAGUUCACAGAUGAAUGUCUUCUAGAACCAUGCAGUGAGCUCUUCUGUAUUCUAAAAUGUAAUGGGUUUCAAAAUUCAAUGUGCAGCUUGUCAUUCAUUAUUGUGCAUUGUAAUUUCUGUGUUCUAAAAAUGUAAUGGGCUCUUGUUCUGUUCUGAAAUUUUGUAUACAUUCAGUGGCUUGUCCAUAUUCAUGAUUGAGUUCAUUCAUUCUACCAGCACAUGUAAUUUGUACUGCCCUCUUUAGAUUGUCUGAGAUUUGCGGCUUGCGUGGAAUCUUAAUUUGUAUUUCUUUGUAAAAUUGCAAGUCAAAGGGUGGCUAUUGCCUAUUGGGUCGUGGGAGCUUCCCCAUAUUAUCAGUGAUCCACGUGCAGUUUGGAUCUUUCACACCUUCAUUGACCCCUUCUCUUUUAAAUUAAUUAACUUAAGUAUUAGUGUCCAUUGUAAUACAAGUAGUCCAGCCAUAUCCCUUCGAACGCUCCUCUUUUGAAGAAGGCGUGAGUGGGGUGGAUGGCAAUUGAUGAAUAUGCCUGUAGGUGUCUGUGUUUUCUGUCAAUCCUUUGGAACAGAUUGUAGUCAUGCAGUAGGGGCAUUAUCCUGAGCUAUGCUACCCUUCGAAGCUUUCAUUUGAAUACUCUUUUGGUUCUAAAUUAUAGGUCGUUUUGAUUUUUUUAAGUUCAUAGAUAUUAUUAUGCAUCUAGAUAUAGUUUAUAUCUAGAUGUAUAAUAAUAAUAUCUAUGAACCUAAAAGAGCUAAAAUGACCUACAAUUUGGAACAGAGGGAGUAGAUUUUAAUUGUAACGGAGGGAGUAGAUUUUAUUAGUAGUUCAUUAUUUUGGAUUGCCAUUUCCCAAUGAUGUUAUUCCUGGAGCUGUAUAUAUAGAAUUAUGUUGUCCUCGGAGUUCUGGGUUGAAAAGUUUGGUCACAUUGUGUUGAAAGUUGAAACCCUCCUGGUUUGUUCUACUAUGAUGUUUUUUACCGUGUUACUCUGUUAGUUGAGCUUCUGGGAACCAAGCUUGGACACCUCCCAGUAGUUUACCACGCCAGUCAAGUUCAACCUCAUGGUUGAGGUCGCUGGGAGGUAGUAGAAUGUAGUAGUUGACAGCUGCUAUAUAUGGUGGCCAAACUCUCCUAUUUGCAUCUCUGUAAUUCAUCAGGUGGUCUCAGGAAGGUGCAGCUGCCCUUCCCACCCAAACUAACCAUGACAAGAACCCUGCACUCAUCUGCAUCCUCCACUGUCAAACCCUCAGAGAGCAACAUGUCAGGCUCUUGGAAGUUGAAACACCACGUCCGUGCGUGAUGACUUUGUAAUUAAUAUGUAAUGUAUCAAAUGUCAAAUGUUGUUGGACCCCAAGAACCCCCUUGAGGUAUGUAAACACAAAUAUACACUUCUCAUGCACCAAACUAAAUUGGGUCCUCGCUAUCAAAACAAUUCCUGGGCAUAGAUGCAUAUGACUGGUCCAGGGCAAGAUAGAAGUCAAUUCAGCUGCCACAAAACUGUGAUGGAGAAAUAUGCAAAAUAAACUUUAUGAAGACGCCUCAACUUUUCAACAUGCAUGGGAAUAUGUUUGCACAUGUACUACACUAUGAAUACGUUGAGCAUGUGUUUGAUGGUUUCUUGGCAACAAUUAAUAAUUGUCCAUCAUAUAUGUGGCACACAUUAAAGUAAUGUAUGACAUAUUUACACAAGCUCGUAAUAAAACACGCACCAAUUGCGUAUCCAUUUCGAUGGCACAAUUAAUGGUUGUAGAAACUGAUCUCGUGCAAAUGUUCUUAAUUCUCAUAGGAAACAUCAAGAAAUAAUUAAUGGGAACUAGGGUAGUUAAUUAAAUUUCUUAUCCAAAUUGAAGUAGUCUUUGCAUGAAUGAUCUAAAAGCUGCGAUCAAGCAUCUGGUGGAACCCCCCAUGUUUUAUGAUUGGUUCAGUUUUGAUGUUUUUAAAACUUUAUGCAAGGAAAUGGAAAGGAAGGCUUCGUGGGAUCUAAAACUAUUUUAGCUCGAGGGAGCUCCUUUUACAGUUGGGAUGGGUCGUUGUUCAUCAUUUGGCUUUCGCUAGCUUCUUGCCAACUACAUCCCUAGAGCAAGCCACAAAUGAUGUAACAUUAAUGUGGUUGUGGAUAUAUGUAUUUCUUGGUUCCAAUAAAGCUAUUUCCCCCCAAACAUACAGCAUCAUGCAUGAGCACUCAUGCCACCCACAUAUAUAUAUGAGCACCAUGCUGAAUUGAAGACUCAAACUCGUUUGGACAGGUUCUAUCACAAGGAACCUAAUUAGCUGAGUAUUGAGCUUGCCUCAGUUUGCACCAAUCAAGCUACUUUCAUCAAAUAUUUUUGGAGCCAUAUUUUGGAUAUAUUGUGUUAAUAUUUGUCGAGCCAACAUAGAUGAUAUAUGGAGGGAAUAGCUAGAGUUAACUAGGCAUUUUGAAAAAUAUGCCUUUGGAAUAGCACAUGCCAAAUAUUGAGAACAAAAAUGUUUUAAUUAAUUGCAAAUUAAACAGUUAUAGCAAAACCAACUGAUGAGUUAAAAUUGAUGUAUCCACAGUAUGUUUCCAGUAUAACACAAUAACAAUAACAUACAAUUAUGCAACACGAUAUUAUCUCUUAAUAAAUAUAUUAUAGUGUUCUUUAAGAUAUACUAAAAUUAGCAGAUCAUGACAACUAAACAUUAAUUGUGUAUACAAUUUGCAUUCAUAUAUCUGUGUUACUAGCACCAUAAAUACAUUUGUCAACAUUUAUUCAUUCCAAACAUAUCACAAUCGGUAAAAGCAUGGAUGGUGCACGUACUGUAGUUAAAUUUAUCGGCUAAAUUUAUGUUGUACAUUUACGAACUGAUUAUGAAAUGGAUGUAACAGCACACAAUAAUAUCAUUCUGGAGCUAGGGUACAAUAAUAUGUGGUUCCAUCUUUUGUCAAAUUUUUCAGAGUACACUAUCGACUCUUAGAGAACAGAUAUCAGUGAACAAACUUACAUCGAGGUCAUAUAUAACAAUAACACGUGAGCAUUAAUUUAAUCUCAUGCUUGUUGCAAUGAGCUGGGCUUAAUGUAGCGUGGGCAAAGAAAACCAAACCAAUAAGAUGGAAGAUAUACCGCGCAUGCCCAUCAUCAGACGAUAUAUCACCAUUUCACACAAUAAACCAUAGUAAGUCACCUCAUUUGUGCAAUAUUUCUUCAUGUACACUACAAUCAAAACUGAUGAUAUACAUUGAUUAAUCACCAUAUGCACGAUAUUUCUUCAUAUUUUAUACGCUAUACUGAUAAUAUAUCAUGAUAAAUUAUCAUAUAUGCAAUAUUUGUUCAUAUUUAUAUGAUAUAAUUAACACCAUUGAAAUACCAUGAUAAAUCAGAAAAUGCAAUAUUUCUUCAUAUUUUAUAUGACAUAGAUACCGCCGUAUAUUGUAUGACCAUGUUGAGAAAUCGGCACCCAAAUCUUGACACCGACUCCCUAGAAGUGGCACCAAAGUUGUGUGACACCACUUCUUCUGACCUUCACACCGACACUAACACGGGAGACCAGCUCUCUACAAGGGAACCUAAAUCUUUUAUUCACCUACUCAACUUGAUACAACACUCACUCUUAUACUCUUUAUGUGGCUACCCUACCAUGACACCACUACACUACAUGGCAACCUUGCCAUCUGCCAUAUGGCAACUUCCAUACUCUUCCAUACAAAAUAUCCUAACUCUAGAACCCCCUCCUCAUCCUAAUCUAAUUUCUUAUAUUUCUACCAUGCUAAAAUAUCUAGUUCUAGAGUAUUCUACAUUUCACCAUAAAGCAUGGCAACUAUGGCUCAUGCAUUCUCUUCAAUUUUCUAUAAUCUUCUUACCUUGCCAUGAUCUUAUACUUAUACAUGGCAAAGUUAAUCUCUUAAGAUCUCCACUGUCUUCUAGAAUGUUCCAAGUAUGCAUUGCAUAUUUCAACAAACCAUUUAUUCACACUGCUAUUACUUAAAACCUUGUUAUUAGAAUUCCAUCACUUUUCACAUCGCCACCAUCAUAUAGUGCUAUAUUAUUGAUGACUACGAGGAUUAGAACAAUAUUGUAUCGUCAUCAUUAUUCAUAUCGCAACUAUUAAUUUAUAACCUUACGAGUAUUAGAAAUGCUGAGAGCCCCCUCUCAAGAUCUCUUCUCUCUACAGACGAGACAGAUGGGCGGAGGGAGGGACGACAGCUUGGUCUAGCGUGUGUCCAAAGGUGUUUCGUGUGUACAUGGGUAACCUUUUUCCCUUUCCUCUCUCUAUCGCUUCAGUUAAAGCGAUCAACACAUGGAAUUCCUGUCUCCAAAUCUUUAUUAAUUGCUCUCAUAACCCCCUUCUCCUUCCUCCUCUUCUUCCUUUUCCUCCCUCCUCUCACCUAUCUCCGGCCUCAGGCACCACCGGUGCGCUACUACUCUAUCCCUCCAGCUAGCCUUGUGAAAUCCUCUCGCAUGUGAUCAUGCACAUGCUGAGAAGGUAAUAUAAGGGUUUGGAGCUACUACCCAUGGGCUCUUGGCAGCAAGGAGAACUGCAGGCAACAGCCAUGGAUGGCGCAGGAAGCGGCGGUGGCAACCACCGCCUCAUCGGCCUGAGGAUCGAGGAGUACGGGAAGUACAUAUCGGACUCGACCUGCUGCCCCCAGUGCGGCCACAAGAUCGACAGGAAGCUGGUAUGUUAUCAUCACUGACAAGCACGACUUGGUUAGGUUUUGAUGUAGAUAUGUUGUUGAUUGAUGAGCUUUUUGUUGUGUGAUGAUGCAUGAAUGUAGGACUGGGUGGGGCUGCCGGCCGGGGUGAAGUUCGACCCGACGGACCAGGAGCUGAUCGAGCACCUCCAGGCGAAGGUCCGGCCUGGUUCCACGGCGGCGCCAUCGCACCCGCUGAUCGACGAGUUCAUACCCACCAUUGAGGGGGAGGAUGGCAUCUGCUACACCCAUCCCGAGAAACUGCCAGGUGAAUUAAUCUAGCUAAACUGAUCAGUAGAAUUCCAUGGAUCAGUUUUCUCUAGCAGGCAUAUGUGAUGUGUGCGUUUCCAAUUUUUUCAAGAGGGGGUUCUUCUCUUGUUCCCCCAUCUCUUUCUUGAAAGAAUUCUCCUCUUCCUUUUAUUGAGUACAAAAUAUUUUUGCUUUGUAGUUUUGCACUUUCCGUUUGUUUUCCCAUUUCUAUUUGCAGUAGCUUCAGCUCUCAGCUCUCUCUCUCUCUCUCUAGAUCUCUCUCUCUCUCUCUCUCUCUCUCUCUCUCUCUCUCUCGCGUGCUGUAACUUGAUUGCACGUAUAAUUUUAUUCAUGAUACGCAUAUAAUUCUUAUUUACAAAGUGCUAUUGCUAUUAAUGGCGUAUAUUUGCAAGUUCAUGCACCGUACAAGGAAAAAGAUAUAUUGUGCAUCCAAAUCUUCUAGCACUGUACAAUAUUUAUGUUGUUGUAGCACAUCUCUGUCGCUCCUCCCUCUCUCUAGAAUGAAAUGUGACAUGGGAUCUGCCCCUAUCUUCCAAAGUUAGGUUUUGUCAUCCUCUCAAGGUUGUUAUAUCCUCCAACAGCCAAUGGCUGCUUUCAUCAUCAACCAUCUCCCUUCUCCCCUUGCCCCAAAGUGAAACAACCAAACAGACAUCUGUUGGCCAGCUCUGACACUGCAGGUCUAUGCAUAUGCACCUACACAUGCUGACGUCUAUCUAUACCAAUGGCCAUGCAGGUUUGACCAAGGACGGCCUGAGCAGGCACUUCUUCCACCGGCCGUCCAAGGCCUACACCACCGGCACGCGCAAGCGCCGCAAGAUCCAGCCGCCGGCCGCCGAGGCCUCGUCGUCCUCCUCCCCGGCGGCGCAGCAGCAGCAGCAGCGGAGCGAGACGCGGUGGCACAAGACCGGCAAGACGCGGCCGGUGGUGGUCGCCGGCCGGCAGCGCGGGUGCAAGAAGAUCCUGGUGCUCUACACGAACUUCGGCAAGCACCGGAGGCCGGACAAGACCAACUGGGUGAUGCACCAGUACCACCUCGGCGACAACGAGGAGGAGCGCGAGGGGGAGCUCGUCGUGUCCAAGAUCUUCUACCAGACGCAGCCGAGGCAGUGCGGCGUCGCGGCGGAACCUGCCGCCGCCGCAGCCUCCUCUGACACCGUGGACGGAGCUGCCGGUGCUGAACAAGUGGCGGAGGCCGCGGUAGCGCCACCGGAUGUCGGCGGUGCGUUCCACGGCGCCACCGGCAUCGACGAGUUCAACUUCACGCAGUUCAGGAGCAGCUUUGAGGAGGUGAGUCUAACUUAUUUGGUAACUUUUCUUCUAACUAGCUCAGGGAUUUGGACACUCCACCGUCGCAUUUUAGAAGGCCUAGUUAUUAGCUCACUACUAUUUGGUUGUGAGUUCUUUUCCUUGUAUAACAAGGGCAGCUUUGCCAAUUUAUAAAAGAGAGAAGUGACGACUGGCUAGUGAGCAUCGAGUCGAAUUCUAGCAUUUGAACCUUGGUGGGCGAGGAAACCAUGCAUGGCCCACUUACCAACCACAUGGCGGUUACCGCCUUGUUCUAAGUUUGUCCGAUGUUUGUACUAGUUCAAGAUUUUUGGUCCAUUAUAGUGGAUUGAGAAGGUACACGGUGAGGUGUUUGACACUUAAGAGCAUAUCAUGAUUUUGAAAAUUGAGAUAAACAAGUUUUUUUCUGCGAUAUAUCUUCCAGAAAGCAAAAAAGAACAUCAUAAAAUCAUGCUAACGUUAAUCUUGAAUAACAAAAUGUGAUAAGGUCCUAAACAUGUGCCCAUAUUUUGUGGAUUUAUUGUUUGAACUUGUCAACUUUUAGUAUGUAUUUAAUGCUCUUAAAUGUUAAAAAGUUUCUUGUAUAUGAAGGGUUGCUACUUUUUUUGUGAUCGCUGAAAUAUUGUGGUAGGAAUAGAUUGCGAUGUUCUUGUUUGGGAGGGUGUACGUUGCCAAGGCCAAUGUGCUUUCAUUCAGCUUAGUCUGAUCAAUGAAUGGUAGAGUGAGAAAAUUUGCUGCAGAAAUGCAGUACUAGCUAUGAUUGAGGCCUGAGGUCUUACCUAAAAUUGAUGGGUGUCUCUGACCAACAUGCAAUGCAGAAGUAACCUAUUGUUUUCAUAUGAGACAGCUCUAUACAAGUACCCGGCCCGAUUGCAUUGAUUGAUCUGCGUGCUAUCAAAUGGUGCAGUGUUGUACGCUGGCAUUGUUUUGUUAAAAAAAGCGAGCAUCCUGAAUUGAGAUCGUAUAAUCAGACAAGAACAUCCCUGAAAUUAGCUCGGCAUAUAAUCUACUUUCCUAAUUGGGCCACCUUCCCUAGCUACCAAUGUCCAAGCCUUAUUUAGUGAAUAUUUUAAUGGUAGAAGCUGUUGAAUGGCUAAGUCGUUAAAUGCUACACCAGCUGGAAAUAUAAUCUGUCCAAAUUUGUUCUCAAUUAACUUUUUACCAUCAUCAGUACAUAGAAAUGUAUAUAGAAGAACCAUACAGUUAAGUAGCACUGCAUUCAUUGGGAAAAGCAUUUCCACAAUCUGUAUAUUACACUUCCAUCUCAUUUAAAGACUAGUAAUAAAAAUUCACCUCACAAAGAUUUAAAGUUUUUGAAAAAAUGUUUGAAUUGUUACCAGUAAUGUUCCAAAAAAAAAUUAUAAAAAAUGUUCCCCAAAAAAAUGUUACCAGUAAUAAAAAUCCUGAUUACCUCUAAUCUUUCCCAGUGUUAAUUUUGUCUGAUUUUGGUACCUGCAGGUUAGUCGACUGUGUUAAUAACUGAGAAAUUUUUAUUUCAAACACUACUUAAGAAACUAUUGAUUGCAUUUUGCAAGUAAUUAUCAUGCGUAUACACAGGUGGACGUUGGAACAUCAGUUCAGGUUUCGGCCAGGGCUGACGAGGAAGUACAUACAGGCCAUCUUCACCUUCACCAGGAGCAUGAUCUUCAUCGGCGUCAAUACACCAACCAGGAGCAACAGCGUCUUGCUGCAGCUGCAGCAGCAUUCCAGAUCAGCACACCAACGGAGCCUAUCACCACGAUGAUCACCUCAUCGCCCAUGGUUCACCAUGGUUCAGUCUUACUUCAACAGCAGGAGCCGUAUGACCAUGGCGCGAGUUAUCAGCAGCAGCAGCAGGUAGUAGUAAUUAAUUGCAUAAUUUAUUUUGCAUGAUUAGCGUUACAAUUUUUAUAUGUGAUUAACUUUAUUGUUUACUAAUAAGACAUAUUAUUAUUACUGUUUGGUAAAAUGGACCAGGAGGAUGAGCAGCCACACCAACCUAGCAAUUUUGACGGUAGGUCAACUUCUGGGCUAGAAGAGGUGAUCAUGGGGUGCACUUCAAGGAGGUCCAGAGGAGGGGUAAGCAUACACAAACACAUCUGUCCUGUUUUUCAAUGAACUAGUAUAUAUACACUACUUGCAUAUAGUAUUUAUUUCUUCUUGUUACUGGUCCUGUUUUUUUUAUUCCUAUUAACUACUUGUGGAAACUAGCCAGCAGGUCUAUGAAAUGAAACUAGCUAGCAGUUUAUCUUAAUUAAUUCAGAUAUACCGCCACCCUCAAGCAGUGAAUGUAAUGUAUUUAAUAUAAGAUAUGUGUAGUCAAAAUUUUUAAUCUUUAGCUACUCAUAUCUUCAUUUUUCUAAAAAAACUGAUGUCAUUUUAUAAAAUAUCAAUCGGUCAUACUCUUAAAAACUAAAUCCAAAGGUUACCUUUUUCUUACAUUAUUAAAUAAAUAAAAUAAUCUGCAAUGGCGAUGCAUUUUAGGGCAUUGCCACUUCGAGCGCUUAAAAUAGUACGAAGGAAGUUUAGUCAAAACUAAAUAGAUUAAUUUGCGGGUAAAGACUGAAUAGAUUGAGCUAGUCAAAACUAAAUAGGUUGAGAACACACAUCAAUAAGAACAACAAUUUACUAGUACUAGAGAUAGUCUUAGAAAUAUUAUUUGAGGAGGGCAAAUGCAUCAUAUAGAUGUCAUGUGAAAAUGCAAUAGGUCAUGAAAUCAAUUUAUCUCCCUUUUUUCUAUGGUUAGAAGAAGUUGAACCUUCUAUAUGUAUAUACCAUCAUUUCUAAUUUCCACCUCUUUUUAUUUCGUUCAGGAAGCAUCAGGUUCAGGUGGUAACAAGGAGAGCAGCAACUGGCAGUACCCAUCCUUCUGGCCACCUGGCAGCCAGGAUCAUCAUGGGUAGACGAGCAGCAACCUGCAACCACACCUUGAGUUGCAGACAACAUUGGGGAGGCAACCAAAAGCAAACCAUGACCCUGACACCAUCAUUACUACCAUGAUAGUAUGAUCAGCAUACAUACACCCUAUAUCGCACUACCAUAUAGGCUGCAAGACUAAAAGCGAGUUCAUGGCUUCCAAGAAGCAAACAAAAGGCAAAGUUAUAGCAACAAAAUCCAAACCCAGUUUUUGGCGACCCCAUCUCUCUCUCUCUCCAACUUCUUUCUCUUCAACCGAUGCGUCUGGAUAACGGGAUCGAAGUUUCAUUUGGGUGCUCAAAUUUACAUGCAUGUCUAAAGAGACAAAGAUGAUAUUGGAGGAAAAAGCAAAAGGGAGGAUCAGAAAAGGAAAGCAAGAGACAUAAAACAAAGGUGACGUCACAUGAGAACGGUCAGUUAACCGUCGGUUGCGCACAGUGAUCGAUGCGGAAUCAUUACCGCAAUCAUAGUUCAUCCUGGGCUGGGCUUUUCUUUUCAUUCCCCCCUCAAACUGUUUGAUAAUCCGGAGUAAGGAUACCAUUAUACAAUUCAUUCUUAUGUACCUUUUGAAUUGAUGGGUUAACUGAUCCGUACACCAUUUUCUUUUCUUUUCUUUUCUUUUCUUUUCUAUUGGUCGUAUACUGAGCAACUUAGGUUAAUUACCCUUGGGAUAAGAAUGGAAUUCAAGGUGCAAUUGUAAAGCAGUUUGUGUUAUUAUGGAGUUGAUCCAUUUUAUUACAACUUUAAUUAUUUGAAUCGAUAUUUUGCAGUUUUUAUUUGGACCAUUUCUGUAUUUUUUUCAAGGUAUAAAUUUAUUUUGAAGAAAUAUUCUCCAUGCUGGUGCACAGAGAAAAGAUUGCAAGGUAAGGUGAUGGCUUUAGUUUCAAAAUCUUCCUUUUCCAUGGGAAUACCUUAGGUUCCAAAAUCUCAGUGACGUGCAUGAGGGAAUAAAUGUUACCAUCUGCUUUUGUGAUUGUCACAUGCAAAAGAACAAAAGCUUGCCAUGUCUCCUACUAUAUAAACGAAAAAAAGCUUAAUCUCAUCUCUUAUUUUCUUUCCCCGCUCUUUUGCCUUUCGAAAAAGAUUUUGAUUGGAUCAUGCAUGGCUGGCCCAUUCUAGGUAGAACUACAUCCCAGUUGCAUGCAUGUGUCUAUUUGGAUUCUGCUGCAUCCUGUCAGAAUGUAAAUACGUCUGCUCCCAAGAACAUACAUAAUUUGUAUUUCCCUGAAUGAAUGUAACGUAGUAAACCACUUGGCUCUGUUGUGAACAUGGAUGUUUGUUGUUUUAUGAAAACCGGUGACUUCAUAUACAUGCCAUGCCUGACACUUUACUGAUAAGUAAACCAAUGCAGCCGAGCGGUGUAAUGCAUAAGCAUGGCAAACGCCAGAGAGUAGCAGAUUCAGUCUACUAGAACGGUAGCAUUGUGUCGCUUACAUUCUUGCGUUGGUCUAAUUACGAAGUAGCAUCAUCAAGGAUUUACUUUUGAACAAUCGAGUAGCCCAAAGUUCCUUAGGCCUCGUUGGUUCCUCUGGAUAUGUUCGUGAACCAUUCCAGGACCGGAUUGAGUGGAUCAGAUUCCUUCACUCAAUCCUGGUCUAGUUCUAAUCCUGUCCAAGAACCAUUCCAGCCUCCAAAAACUAUGUUAGGCUGGAAAGGAAUGGAUUGUCCAUGAUUUUAGUUCAAAACACAAAAGCUAUUACAUCACCUUGAUAAUACACAGUCCAAAAACUGUGUUCCGGAGGAUUGGAGGUGGGGUUUCGUUCCGGACCUUGGAAUGAAGGGGUGAAAUUGUUCCAGUCCAGGUUUGGUUCCAGACCAGACCAACCGAACUGCAAUUCGUAUGUUGGGUCGUAUUCGUUCCAAGCCGUUCCAAUCCGCUCGGAUUGGGCUGCAUUCCACACCAUUCCAGCAAAACCGAACGGGCCCUAACCUGACCAGAAUGCGAUCGUAUCUUUCCAGGUCAUCAGGUCAGGUCAAUCAUCAAGUCAUGGCGGCGUGCCGCGUGCAUUCAUCUCUCGCGCAUUGCAUUCCUGAGAAAGCAUAGAGCCAUAGCCAUGUUUCUGCUGAUUCCAGCCGUUCCGUCGUUGUUGUUUUUUUUAUCACGAAGGUGAAGUCACUGCUCAACUGAUGAAGUUUCUUCAUGUCUUUAUGCUUGACAUGAACGCUAAUUAGGGCUCCUUUGGCAGGGCUCUGGCUCCGGCUCCGCGCGCUUACCGAAGCAGGAGGAGCCGGAGCCGCACCAAAUGGUAUCGACUGCGGAGCUAUUUUUUAGCAUAUUUAGGAGGAGCCGGAGCCGUUUUAAGCCUGCAUGGCGGAGCCUAAAAAAGUAGCUCCGCAGCUCCGGCUUCGGCUCCGGCUCCGGCUCCGGCUCCGCACGAGAAGCCCCUGAGGAGCCCUGCCAAAGGAGCCCAUAAUCCUCGGUGCUAGCUUCUGUGUCAAGGUCUGCAAGACUAAUCCACAUCGACCAGCGAUAGAUGCGGCUGGCUACGAUGACCCAUCCGUCCAUCUGAGAUCUGAUUUCCCACACUAUCAACUGCAGCUUAUUACCUCCCUUCUUCUUCGUUCCGAUUAUCGUCGCUUUCAAUUAGAUUCAGAUAGUGUCAUUGCUUUAGUGGCCAACAGAUGUGAAGUUUGAGCUUCAGGCUUUAUCCAGACCGCCAUUCUUGCUUAGCCCCUAAUCGGCGGCACGCCGCAGUCCACGCCGAUGAAAGCCACCGAGGCGUGAGUGGUGACAGGCAGCUGCCGGGUCUCGUGCGCGAGCGGCAGCUGGCGGGGGAGGUGGUCUGACGGCAGCCGCGGAUCGGACAUCUGCGGUCAGGAUUUGCCGCGCCUAACGACAAGCGGUGGAAGGGAUCCUCGCCCUCCUCUGUUCUUCUUCCUCGCGCCGUCGGCUCUCGACCGGUGGCCCUUCUCCCCUCGACGACUCCGGUCGCCGUGGUGAGAGCACGCUUUUCGAAGUGGAGACCGUGCCCGCAAAUACCAACAAGGCCAACCACCUCCGUUUGUGCCCUGGGCGUUGACCUUUGCUUGCUGCCUCGCUGGUGACGCAGAGAGUUCUGUGGCUCUGUAGUUGUAACUCUGUUACGAUUUUGCGCAGACGAUCAAGGCAGAACGCUGCGAGAUAGGCUUCGGUUCCAUAACAAUGAUCUGAUGUCGAAGACAUUACAUUUGGAUGCUCCACACAAAGACAAGGCAAACAGAUACGUGAUGCGAGUUCAGGCUUCAGAGUGCUAUGGUAAUGGGAGCCAUCACCUUAUAAAACCGUCUGGAAUUUAGCAGCCCAAGGCUGUCAGUGCUUAACGCUGAUCUGUUCCUUUCGAGGGAUACAAAACAGUGUUGAUUUGAACAACAGAAGGAAUUGCAGCGUUCCUGGAUUCACAUCACAUUUGUCAAUCCACAUGUUAUUCCAACACUUCGAGCCAUUGCCGAAGUUACAAUGUGGUAACAGGAGCCAUAGGCAAUUGCAUAUUAAACUCAUCAUAUGCUUAUGGUAACACAAGUAUAGAACUUACACCGCAGACCACUUACCACUCUGGAAGAGUUUUCUCAAAAGGUUUUUGAAAUAAACCAGUUGACAAAAUCAGAGUUCGUUAGGGUAAGCUUGUAUCAAACUAAAUCCACACGAACAAGAACAAACAGGGCAGAAUAAUUUCACAGACUAAAGAUAACAGAUUUGGAAGAUGCAGUAACCACUGAUGGAGCCACAAGAAAACAGACAACGAUUUGAGCCUCUGCCUCAGAGAGCUGGGCAUGCCAACAAAAAUUUGAGAUCAUUAUCAUGCUGCAUUAUGCACAGUUGUCUUUACAUUUUCUAUGACACAGAAUCAGGUAUGACCUCAGUCGUCUUUCCAUUGACUUAUUACAUACAUCAAUAACAACAUUAUCACCAGCUUCAUCGAGGGGCUUGCGGCACUUGUUGAACAGCAGCUAGAGGAUUCAUCUGGACAGAGAAUGCAAGUUGCAGUGCAUCAAAGAAUGCUCGUCGCAGAGAUGAUGCGUGCUGGAACACAGUCCUGUUCAAGCAGAUUCACACGCAAGCAUUCACUUGUUCAUUAUUCCUUAGAGCACAAAAACAGGCAGGGUAUUAUGGAUCUUAUGAGAAGACGAUUGCAGAGUCCUUACCUCUUCAAGCCAGCAGUUUUCCUCCGGAGCACAUAGAUUGUCGAAAACAGCAGCGAUAACAGAAGCAUUAACUUGCCACUUGGUAGAACAAUAUGUAUUUUACCAAACCUCAAGCGAACCGAAUGAAACCACCAAAAGGAGGGAUCGAAUUGAUUUGUGACACGUUGGAUUGAAGGUCGAGUGGACUUUACUUGGACCUUUUGGCUGUCGUACACAGGAGCUGUGCUUGGAGCAUCCUCAUGUAACGAUGGUGUUGAGCCAUUUGUAGAAGUGGAAAGGUUUCUUUCUGCUAUUUGUUUUACCCCUUCAACAGUGGAUGGCUUUUUAUUUGCAGCUGAUCGCAGUGCAUAAAGCUUUUUUAGUAGGUCCUGCAAAGAAACAUUAAGAAACAACUAGAUGAAAAGGAAUGAAACAGCAAAACUUACCGAAAAAGAAGAAUAAUGUGGUGGGAGUUCAGAAAAGAAAUAAAAAUUUGCAUUAAGUUAGCAUAAAAAUUAUUUGGGAAACUGUUAAAUUCCAAGUCAGAAUGGAAACAUGAUUUGUAAACUAAAAAAAGGGUAGUCGGCAUGAAAAAUACUAUCUGAGAUCUGAAACAUCCAUGGUUGGUAUGCUGUCAAAAGACAAAGGUACCUGACGGCCUUGCUCAGUCAGCUCUGCUUUUUCUGCCCAUGAGAUAGCAGUUCCACUCUCUUGGGAGACAAUACAAAGGAAUGUUACUGUAUACAAUUCUGCCACCUCAAGAUACUGCUUGGUUGACAUAACAGAUGAAACAACAAAUCCAUUUAAAGAGUUGUCUUGUCCUCCAUUCAAAACAUAAACUUCAUCAUUUGUAUAUCUCCAUUUAGCAAGGUACUCCUCAAAGAUUGGUCUAAGGUCAGAUCCAGAUCCUGCUGCCAUUUGCAUGGUAGCUCUAUGAAGAGAAAGAUAGAAGUCAUUGACAUACACAAAAAAAGGGAUACAGUACAAGUAAAAUCAAGCAUAUAAGACUUCUAUGUGAAAAAUUACCCGGUAAGGAAAACUUUAGCAGGUACUGAUGCCACCGAACCAAACAUCUUUUUAAGCUGAACAAACAUUUCAGAUGUCCUGGGAAAUUUAGCAUAGCCUGUUAGACGCUAGAAAUUUAGCAUGCCAUACAUAGACGUUCUGCAAACAUUGUGCACAAAGAAUCAGUCAUAAUCUAUAUUUAGGGAGACGAUGCUUUUCCUUUGGCAAAUCUAGAACCCCAUUGGGAUAGCUGAGCAGCAUGUAGGAAUAAACAAUUCAUCUUAUUACAGUACAUAACAAAGCCCUGAAUUUGAUUCGGGCAUAGAAGUAUUAUUACCAUAAUAAAAGCAAAUGAACAGGAUUUACCUCCUGAGUUCUUUAAGUGCCUGGACAAGUACCAUUCCAGCUGAUUCAAGAAUAUCUAAGAGUUCGUCAUGGUCACAUUCAGUCUCCAGAGAAACCGUGCGUGUUUGAUCAGACACAGAUAAAGCUGUAGAUACAGCCUGCUCGAACAAUCCGCUUAGUAGAUAGCUGUGCCAUGGGAAUGAUAACCAGGUAAGCAAACAAGCUACCAUCUUUCUUCGUUUUCAGAUAAAUGUGUAACCUAACAUGCAUAGUUGACAACACAAUAGCACAUCAUAACUGUUCGAGCAAUUUUAUCAGAAGAAAAUGAGGUUCCAACAAGUCCCAGUGUGAUAGCCAUUGAUAGCUAAUGAGAAUAAGCACGCCGUUGUAGUGUUAGAGUAACAGGAACGAGGUGGCAAAAAAACAAAGUAACAGGGCAGGCAAUGAUUUUGCAAAGUAAUUUAAGUAGAUAUAUAGUAUUACUGGGAAUCUAAUUACCAGAAACCGCACGGGAAGAAGAAAAGUAAACAGAAUCGAAGCAUAUUAAGGAGAAGAAGGGAGGAGGAAUCUUACUCCUCUGCGUCGUCGAUUUGCUUCCACAAACCCGAUUCCUGGGCAGAGGCCCCCAUGAUCCGAUGCUCCGGCGUCCACCUCGUAACAGGGGCGGACCUAUAACGCGGAGCAUAGGGGGUUCAGUCGAAUUUCAACCACGGAAAAACUUGGAAAGCAAAGCUAGGGUUCAUCACCAACAGAAGAAUUCAAUUAACUGAAGGUAGACACCCACUCCGCUCCAAUCCAAUACCGAUAUGGGGUAGGAGGGGGUGGUCGGCGUCGACGACGAGAGGCGAUUCCGUCGGGUGGCAGGCGUGCUCCGGUCCGGCGGGCGGAGGGGGGAACGAGAAGCUUAGCAGGAGUAUUUUUUGACUGCUUCACGACUAACAACGAGCCGAUGCUAGCCUUACAGUUACAGGUACUGGCAUGGCCGCAUGGGCCAUGAACGGACUCUUGUUGGGCUUGGGCAUAGAAAGGCCGAAAUUCGCGCGCUCGAGUAACUGGGCCGAUCGUGUUUUUCUCUACCAAAGUGGGCCGAUUGUUGAUACGCCGCACGUUUUUCCGAAAAGAAAAGGAAAAACAAUGGAUACAAGCGAUAACUGAUAGCAAGUCUCUCCCACUAAAAAAGACGCCAAGGGGCAAGGGGGCGUCGACACCCCGCGAUGGCUCUGCCACGUGCCACCCCUCAUGGGUCUGCCUGUUCCGCCCGCUGCGCCCUCCCUACCUCAGCGCCUCCACGCGCGGCGUCCCCUACCCCUAAUUAAAAAAUACACCCUGCCCGCCCGCUCGCGUGGCCGCCGCCCCACCGCGCCGGCGCAGCGCCACCGAGGGCUCGGGGUGCUCGCGGUCCACCGCGCCUCAGUCGCGCUCGGAGCGCAUCUUUCGAGCGUGGCACACUUCUUCCCGACGGCGAGAUCCGCGACGGGCGGCAGCAGUCAAGUGGCGAAGAUACAAAUGGAUUAGAGACCUGUGUAUGAGAGUUUGAAUUAGCUGCAAGACAAUCUUUCAAAUGUACGUUGGUCAUGCCUGUUUGCUGUAGUUCAUUAGUAGAAUCAGGUUUUUCUCAAACAAAGAUUUGGAGAAUGAGUAUGAUUUUUUGUCUGACAGACUGAAUUAAGAUGACAGUAGCUUUAAUCUUGCCUCCUAUUUGAUAGAACUGAAUGAGUAUGAGAGCAGUUUUGCAUAAUUGAUAUUGGAAUAUAGAUUCAUGUCUGCUCAGAUUCCUACACUUUACUGAAUUCAAUAUGACAAUGUAAAAUCUAAUAUUGUUGAAUUCUACUACUUAACAUUUCCUUCUCUUUUCUGUGCAGUUGGACUUUUGGAGAUUUUCUUGAACUACUUGUUGGGUAAGCAUCCUAAAAUGGACAAGCUACAACACUACCAUUAUCAUGCAUAGGCAGACCACUCUUAUGCAAUACUUAUUUUAUAACUGAUCCUACUUACAUUACCGAAACCUGUUGUAUUAGGAGGUGUUUGGAUAUUAGGCGCUAAACUUUAGCAGUGUCACAUCAGAUGUUCGGAUGCUAAUUUGGAGGACUAAACAUGAGCUAAUUAUAAAACUAAUUGCAGAACCCCUGGGCUAAUUCGGAGACGAAUCUAUUAAGCUUAAUUAAUUCAUCAUUAGCAAAUGGUUACUGUAGCACUACAUUGUCAAAAAUCAUGGACUAAUUAGGCUUAAUAGAUUCGUCUCGCGAAUUAGACUCCAUCUGUGCAAUUAGUUUUGUAAUUAACCUAUGUUUAAUACUCCUAAUUAGUAUCCAAAUAUCCAAUAUAACAGGUGCUAAACUUUAGCGGGGUAUCUUAUUGCAGAGCAUCACUGAACCUGAUGCAUUGGAGUUCAGAAGUCCUGGACUAUGGCAGUCUGUAUUUUUUUCAGAAGUGCUGGACCAAACGUCUGUUGCCUCUCUAUGACGUUAAUCCCGAUGUAGGGUGAGGUGGUGGUGAUGUGACGACACAGUUAUGGAAAUCGAUUACAAAUGCAAAGGAGUGGUGUAUCUCAACUUCAAAGUUCGUAUUUUUAAGCAACCACCCAUUGUUUAGCAAAAGGAAUGGUGCCUCAGUUGAAGUCUAUUGUCUAUAAUUUUUCUGUCAAUUGGAUUUUUUAUACGCUGGACAGGAAAAUGGUUUCCAUCAAAAAAAAUUAUAAAAAACUGUCUUCAAAUUUGCACUGAUUUAUUAACAAUUUGGUAACUUUUGUUGAUUAUACAAAGGGCCAUCACCAUGAAGACAUUGAAAAAUUAUAGUAAUUGACACUAAGAUGUAGCAUUGAUUGUGUGGUUGCAUUUCUAAAUGAAAAUAAGCCUUGAUCUUGCACAAUGUUAUUGGUCAAUUCUUCCUAGAAUGACCAUUACGCAUGAUAUGAUCAUUAUAUUUUGUCAUUACAAUUUCAUUCAUUUGCUUACGAUCAUCAUGUGUUUUGCAUGACUUUUUUGGAUAGUUGUUAUUUCGUUCAAAUUUACGCACGGGCUAUUACCUAGUAUGAUACGAAGCAAGAAGUUUGGAAACUGUAAGCAUGGCCAAGGUGAGAAAGCAGCUGAUUCGAUCCACUGCUAGAACUUGGGCAUUUCGUCGCAUACAUUUCUCCAAAAGUAUCUGAACGUGACCGGAAUGUCAUGCUAUACUAGCUUAUGUUUUCAGGUCAUGAGGUCAGGUCAGUGUUCAAAGUCUUUGUUGAAAGGUUAAUCUAAUUAAACUCUCCAUCACAAGUCAGAAACGCUACAAGUGAUUUUAGUUGAAAGGUUUGGAGCGACUUGCCCGGUUCCAUGCCGGUCCCGGAACUGGAUGCGUUCAUCGCCGGACGCUGGCAGCCGGUACGGACUGGGCGCUGACUCACUGCUCAGCUGAUGCUGGCUGGAUCAAUUCCGCAAAAUUUAAAAGAAAAAUGGAAACUGAUCGAUCGGGCUUGCCCGUCGUCUGAUCACGUCAGGAACCAGACUUGUGUUCCUCGUCGUGGCUCGUGAGAUCGAUCAAGUAGCACUAGCAGAGAGCAACGACGGAUCAAACGGGCAGUGCGCUCGAAUCUCCGAGCCUGGCGGCCCCGUCCACACCGCACCAAUCUCCAAUCUCCUGCCCUGCUGUGUUUAAAAGGCGCACGCAUCCCCAGCUCACCAUCACACCACCAGUCACCAAGCGCGCGCCGCAACCUGACAGCCCUCGGCUCGACAACUCCCCCACAUGGCGAUGCCGCCGCCGCCUCCUGCUCCGGCCGCCGCCGCCAAGGCCGGGGCGCACAGCGUCUUCGUGUACGGGAGCCUCAUGGCGGACGAGGUGGUCCGCGCCAUCCUCAAGCGCGUCCCGCCCGCCGCCCCGGCGACCCUCCCGAACUAGUACGCCCCGCCCCUGCCCCCUCCUCCCCCUCCUCCCGAUUCUCUGGUCUCGGUGGACGGUGGUUCUGAUUCCCUGCGGCCAUCGCUUUCCGUUUCCCUAUCGCGAUUCCCGCCGGCGGCGGCGCUGAUGCGCUGACGCCGUGGCGAUCCCAUUCCUCUUUGUUUUCUAGUGGGCCGCCGUCACGAGAUGCUCUCUGCUUCCGUCACCGCAAGCCUUUGACCGCCCAGUAGUGGAUCGGUGUUACCAUUGUUUUUGCAAGCUACAAUCAUGCGGUGAUUCAACGAUCCACGGAGUGGAUAUGUGCGCCGCGCACGCCAAUGGCCAAACUCGAAUCCUGAUCUUUUUGCUUGCACGCAAAUGCGCUGAUUAUCUUUUGCCUAUAUCCUGAUUUUUAACAUGCCAUGGCAAUCUUUUUUUUCUCUUGCAGCCACCGGUUCAACAUCAAGGGCCGUAUUUACCCGGCGAUCCUGCCCGUCGAGGGCAAGAAAGUUGCAGGGAUGGUCUGUCGAUUGUCGUGCACGGCUCAACCUGUAGCAUCGACCCUGCACCAAACUCUCGCUUACUUAUGCUAAUCGCUCUGCAGGUUGUCAUGGGUGUCACUGACGAGGAGCUCCAAGUCCUGGAUGCAUUUGAAGAUGUGGAGUACACGAGGACACGAGUCGAGAUAUCAUUAACCGUAAGCAUAUAUCAUUAACCGGAAGCAUAUAUCAUUAACCGUAAGCAUAUGCAAGCCAUGUAGGCAAUUCGGCAAGUAUAUGUUAGUAAUAAAAAAAGUUGAUAAGUGAAACACUCAACAGAUUUUAUACUAUAAAUGGGCCAGCCUGGUUUCCCUCAACUGCGGACUGGAAAACCAUGGCAAUUGCUUUGUGUCUUGUUUUGCACAGGAAUAGUGGCACUGUUUGCAGGCUGUGAUUUCUCAGAUAGAUUGUGUUCUGCUAAAAGGAAGGUGGUUUUGCGUUGCAGGACUCUUCGGAGAAAAUGUUGGCUGACACUUAUGUAUGGAGCGAUGCACAGGAUCCAGAUCUAUAUGGAGAAUGGGAUUUUGAGGUGAGGGACUACAACAUAUUCAUAUUCUAGGCGAUCAUAUUCAAAAAUGCUGAACAGUAACAGCUAUCACUUCCUCACUAUCUAAAAUUCUGGUGGAAACUCACUCUGCCUCUAUACGAUUAGCUCAUGUAGCAAAAUUCUCUUGAAAACAGAGACCAACCUCAGCAACAAUUUUACUAGCAUCUAUUUCAAGAUGAAACUACUUUUAAGGAUCAUGUUCUCAUCUAUCUGCUUCCAUUACACCCACAGCCACUCCUGAAAAAGAAAAAACACCCACAGCCCAAAAUGUGUUAUUACAUGCAGGCUUUAGUUUUCUAAUUUCAAAGAUUGUGUCUUCUCUGCAGGAGUGGAAGAGGCUGCAUAUGAAGGAUUUCCUCGCGAUGACUAAUGGUUUCAUGCACGGUCUCGAACAGCCUGAAGCGAAGACCCGGGUUGAGACCUACCAGUCAUUCAUCCAACAACAGGAACAGCCUGCAUCGGAGACCCGUGAGAGUUGAGACCUGUUGUUCUGCUGGUCAUUCUCAGAAGAAAUUGUACUGGCAGUGCGCUGUACUAUCUGUAAUAAGUUGCUUACAUGAUUUGUGAAUAAGAUCUUUAUAGGAUCCCGUAUAAAAUUACACAUAUGAAAUAAAAUCUCAUCGGAGAGAUUUCUGUUGAUCCUAUGGCUGGUUCAGAUGCAUCGCUUUUAGCUGUUCCAAGUGUUGAGAAUUUACUGCCAAAUCAGGCAAAUUCUUGGCUGGCUUCUGUGAAUGGUUGGAUGCUUUCUAAUUUGUUUGUGUUCAUGCUAAACUGUUGCUUCAGCCUGCAAGGAGUCAAGGAUCAUGUUGACUGUUGACCUACUAUUGUCAACAGUCUGAGGUCUCAAGUUUUGUUGAGCAAUCUGUGACGCGGCAAUUUGAGCCCGACUGAAUUUGACCGGGAAAAGGUUCUCCACUUAACAAACGUGCUAGAUUUAAGUGAUCUUCGUCGUGAAAACAGAAAUCAAGGAAAGCAUAGUUUAUCACUUGUUAAUUAUUCACCAGUAAUUGAUCAACUUUUAAAGCUCUUUAGUUCGGUAAAAUUUAUGUGUCUUCUUAAAGAUAAUCUCUUCAAUUUCCUUUAGUUCAGUGAAAAUGUGUGUGUGAUAGGAGUUUUCGUUCAAUUCCUGAACAAUGAACAGGAUGUAACACUUGGAAACAGCACAUGGUCAAUGAAGAAAUUCCUGUAGCGCACUGCGCACAAAUUGAGAUACGUGGAGAUCUUUGGCAGUGGCAUCAAAACAGCCGGAGCAGCAGUUUUUACUACAAGCAUGCCUUUCUCGUAGUACAUCAUCUUUCACCUAAGGUAAGAUUCAUUUACCAUCCCUACUUUCCAUCCAUGUGAGCGAACCUACACAUAUGAACAAAAGCACUACUAAUCCAUCGAGCCAUUUGCUCUCCUGGAUGUCAAGUGGCAACACAUCUACACAACAUUCUGCUGCUGCACGCCUUUCACCUACCACAGUUCAGGUGACGCCUACUUGGACCGGCAGCACAGAAUGUAUGGACCGGCAAGUUAGGUCAUUCAAACUGGUCAUAUGAACCAGUAGAAGGGUUACCAGAGUUCUGAUCGCAGCGAGCUCUCCAGGCAUUCCCGCCGUCUGAGCUGCUGCAGGCCUGGUUAGGGAGAAUGUUGUUCCCAAGAUCACCAUCCAAGCUCAUCUGCUGCACUUCCUGAGGCGACAGGAUCCUAAUGCACCUCACACAGUUGACAAAUUCCCUGCAUGAUAGGCAAUAGCGAUGUUAGGACAAAACAUGGGUAUGCCAUAGUAAGUAAUCAGAAUGCGUUUAUGGCUGUUCACAUUUUCAUCCAUAAUUUACUACCAAUUUUGUAACCAGUUGCAAGAACAAACACAACAUGUUUACAAGUUAAUCAUUAUUACUACCAAUUUUGUACAAACACCUAAACUAGAUGCUUCAGAUAGCGGAUUUUUUUAAAAAAAACUAGAUGAACUUACUCCCAUGGGUCAUCACCAAGAAGUAGGAUGUCAUCCUCAUGGUCCUUGUAAACAAGUUUCCAGCCAAUUCUCUGCUGUUCCUCAAGUUGCCCCUCAAUACUGAACAUGCGAGCCAGAGCAUGCUUCAACUCAUCGUAUCCAGAAUAAUGACUAAUGUCAAUGGACCGGCCUACAGCUCCACGUUUAUACACCUACAAGAACUUCUAGGUUAGGCAUAAGAGGCAACAUGAAUAUGCGAAAGCAGCGUAUGCUUCAGUUUAUAACAGUUCUAGCACAGAAUACUAGUAUUAUGCUUGGCUAAAAAUAAUACCCAAAGUAACAGUUUAGCUUUAGGCAAAACAAACAGAGAAGUGCCAACCUUGGUAAAUGUUCUCAUCCUCUUCAGAGGAGCAGCAGGCGGCCAAGAAGUUCUGUUCAAGAAACCACCGUCAUUCAUACCAGAGUCAAUUGAAUUGAAUGCCAUAUCCGAUGCACCAAACGACUGUGAAACCAUGGAUGACGAUAUUUCUUGUUGACCAUCCUUUGGAAUCCUGUAGUUACCAUCAAUGUCUGUUGAAAUAUGAUUCUGAUACUUGGAAGCAUCAAUUCCAUUUGACAAGAAGCCAUCUGCUCCCAUUGGAAAACCCAGCUGACCAUCAUUGUUUAUUCCAAAAAGUGCAUUAUUACUUGGAUCUGUACCCUGAAUAUCAGUCUCAGGAGGCGCAUCUUUGAAUAUCUGCUGCUGAUUGAAGUUAGACAUGGGGAAACCUUGAUGUAAAAGUCCAUCCGCUUGGGAAAGCCACACUGAAGUUGCUGAUGAAGCUGUUUCCAGAUAGUCCGUCGGGGGUGCACUGUUCACCAAAUUCUGUGGUAUAGGCCCUGUAUUUGGUAACUUUGAAGCCAUCACACUUUGCUUGACAUUAGAAUUCAACUUCGGCAGUUCCUUAGUCGAUCUCGGUAUCCCCGUGACAGCUUCAAGGGAGCUUGGUAUUGACAUAGGAGCAGUAGACUGAGGCAACUUCUCAUUGUUGAUCAUGCCGCAUUGUUGGUUCCUUCCAAGAAUUGGUUGCACAAGAUGGUUACCAUUAGCUGUUGAUGGUGAUGUUGAGCAAGAAGGGAUUUCCUCGGUAAGUACAGAAUGUGCUGCACCAUUUGCCAUCAUAGGACUUCCAGCUGCUGAAAUGGCAUUGACUGAUGUAGUUGGAGGAAUUGCAGCAUGUGAUGUGUCAGUGAACCCAACAUGCUUCUGUGGAACCUUCUGCUGUGGCUCUUGUUGCAUGGAUGGUGGUGGUGGUGGUGUUGCCUGUGAUGGAACUUUGGUACUUUGUUGGGGCAUCGUUUGUUGCUGGGAAAGCGAUUGAGAGUUUGACAGCUGCUGCUGCAUAUCAAGAAUCAACUUUUGCUGCUCUUGAAUUAGCGGUAACUGUGCAAGAGUAACAGCUGGUUGUGAUAGCAAAGACUGCUGCUGCUGUUGCAAUUUCUGUAACAGUUGCAGUUGAAGCUGCUGAUCAGACAAUUGCAGCUGCUGAGCUGCCAGAUUUGGCACUUGCGCAGCCAUCUUAUUUAGCUGUUGCUGAUUUUGCUGCUGUUGCUGCAAUUGCUGUUGCUGAAGCAAAAGCUGCUGCUGCUGAUGUAGUAACUUUUGUUGUUGAUGUUGUUGUUGCUGCUGCUGCUGCUGCGGAUGGGGCAGGAGUUGCGGCUGGCUGGCAGCUGGCUGCUGAUUUUGAGUCAUGGAUGGUGGUUGCUGCUGCUGCUGCAUUUGAUUCUGGACAAGGACCUGAGCCUGGACAAGAUUGGUUUGAGAUUGACUCAAUGGAAGAAGUUGGUUCAUGGACUGUUGUUGCCUCUGCAGAUUGCUGGGAUCGUGAGUCUGUUCUUGCAGUUUGGUGCCCAUGCCAAGCUGAUUCAGUGGGAGUGUUGCCUUGGACAACUCAUUGACCGGCUGCAUUUGCUGAGGAAGUUUGGAAGAACUAAAUUGAAUACUGUUCUGUUGCAGAAUCUGGUUCUGCAGGCAUAACUGCCUUGAGAGAUCAGCUGCACCAAGAUUUUGCAUGUUGGGGUUGCUUAGUGAUCGUAGGUACUCAGACUGCAUUGCCGUGUUUGCAAACGAGGAGUUCUGCUGCAUGUUCAUGUUCAUCCACUGAACCAAGCUCAGACCAGGCAUUAUGGUGUUCUGUGUCUGCGGAUCCUUUAUGCAUAUCUCCUCACCGAGCCAUGGCAUCGCCCUCUUUAAGAGAUUCUCCAUUUCUGAGGACUCAUCAUCUGCAGUACACAGUGGGGAUCAUUCAUUAUGCAUGCUAUAACUUUAAUAAAAACAUUUUUAUAUAUCAGAACUCAGAACUACAAUUUUUAUAUAUCAGGACUCACAACUAUUCUUCAAUCUUAAACUCAUAAAAUAUAUACAGAAUUCCAUGAACAGCUCAGCUAUAACCAAAGGAAGAUUACCCAGCAUCCAGUAUUGGUUCCGUUUACUUGGCUAGUCUAGCUAUAUUGCAACCUCAUAAGUAUGUUUUACUUAUAAAUGUCUACUGUACGAAAGAAUAUGGUACAUCUCUCCUAGUUUCAUAUGUUAUUUGUUCUUAAGAUGAGCUAAAAGCUUCAAGCUUCUUCAUCACUAAAUCUUGAAGACAGGCACAGUACCUUCAUUAGAAAAGGGGUGCACCGAUAAUAAUGGUAUCACCAAUUUAUGACAUAUGAUCAUGUCAGAAACAUAAACAUAAAAUAUGCUACACAUGACAAUUGACAUGAUCCAUAAUCCCAGGGAUGUAGUACCAGAAGCUUGAUGAAUAGUGUCCCUGAUCUCACAAACUAUCUAAGACACAAAAAGAAGCUCUGCCAAGUAACUAGUGCUAAUGUAAGCACCAAAGCAUACCUAAUUGUCUGGGACGUUUUGAACCAAAAAAUGGUGGAGGGCAUAUGAAAAAUGGAGCAGCUACCGGUUCAAUUUCCCAGAUUGAAACCCUGUUCCGCCUUUCGCCUGCUGCAGACUCAUCCCAGCCAACCUAUUGAAAAAACACAAUCUCCUUAGGUCACAAAAGAAUCUCUGUACCAGCAACAGAAAAGGGGAAAAGGCUAAUGCAUAGGAUGCGACAAAAUUAACAAGGAAACCAACCUGUAAGUUGCGCCAUUGUGAGUUUUUCCAUCUUACUGGAUCUAGAUCACUUAUGCCAGUUAUUGUACCCAUGUACCUGCAAAAUGUCAACAUAAGGGAAUAUGAACCCAUCAUUUUGUCAAAACAGCUAAAUUUGGUCUCUAGUCGAACCACUUAACCAUAAAGAGAAAUUGGAAAAAAAAUGAAUAGUCGAGAAACUUGAAGCAGGGAAAGAAGAAAAUUGAGCGACCGUAUACCUUCUUGUGCCUAAUUCCUCAGUUUCAAACAUCAUGCGAAAGCGCAUUCCUAAAGAUAUUUGGUUACCAUAGAGUGCCUUCUGAUACUUAGCAAACGGUACAACAAACUCUGUAGGACUGGCCCUGAAAAAUACAAGCUUUGAAGUUAAGAUUUUGACAGAGACUGGGAAUAAGCUCAUGUAUAGUAACUAUUAGAUAUUAAGUCGAAAUUCAGGGCUGACCUAGGAUUAUAAAAUAUGGUAAAUGGGCUAUUGUUCGCUGCAGCAUGGGCUGCUGCAGCCAGAAUUCCUAUAUGCAUGCUGUCACUUGAAAGGACAGAUGAUGAUAUGUUAGUUGGCUGUCUGUUAGCACGCCUGAUUCCUAGUAGCAGUUGCUGUUUUUCAUCCCUAAAAAAUAUAACAACAAACACAGAAAGAGGAACAAUUAGUGUUGAAUAAACCAUGAACACCAGAAAAACGAGCUAUGAUCUCUGAUGAUCUUUUCUUAGAGCAAAAUUCAAACAUAUAUAUUCGCAAGCUGUGCUGUACCUAACAAAAAUGACAGAAUCACCAGCAAAUAAUCUCUUGCCACUAACAAAAAGACUCCAUCCAGUGGUAAGCAGAUGUCUUUUUGGCUGACCUAUUCAUUCCAAAAGAUGGGGAUGGUUAAACAUCAUAAGUUUCUAUGUGCACGAAAAAGAUAUGGUCAUGUAAAAACAUUCAUAUGAAAAUUUAUUUUUCAAAUUUGUGCACAAGAGCUACAAUGCAUAAGAUGACAACUGUUAAGUGCAUUUGCAAGUGAAUGUGAGCAUAUUUAACCAUAAGUAUUUAACCAAGACAAAAAAAUACACGUCAAGCUCCAUUAAGGUAUUCAUAACAUAUUUUCAGGCCAAAAGAUUUCCUUGAUGCUGCAUUUUUUACCUCGGUAUAUGUGACGGAAUGUCCAUGUGGCAUCGUGUAGAUCUCUGGCUUGUAUCUCUUGGGCAGGUGGUUGCAUGGAGAAAUCCUAAAGAAGGAUGUGAGUACAUUAAAUGCAACGAUGAAGAAAAUGCUCAAAAUCAUGUGGAAAUCAAAUCUUUGCGUACAAGGGGUGGAAAUAUCUUCUCAGCUGCUCGACGAGGCACGGAGAAGCCUCCAUGAGUGCUUGUGUCACUUGCAGUCAGUGUCUUACAGAAGAACUCUGUUUGAGGCCUUGGUUGUUUCAGAGCUAAUUCUGAUAGUUGCAAUGCCUCCUUUCCAUACUGAUCAUCAUUCGCAAUCAAUUUGACAUAGAAAGAGCUUGGUCAAUAUACCUGAACAAAUAGGGAAAUGAAGGGGAAAAAUUGUAUGGCAAACCAGGCAUGGCACUGGAUGCUUACUGAAGUAACUGGCUGGAGAGUCAUUUGCGCAUACACUUCAUCUGUUUCUGGAUCCGCCUAUGAAACCCCCAAAAUAAUUCCUUUUAGCAUAAAUGAUCGAGCAGAAGACAAUAAAAUGGGGCACAGCUGCAUAUUACAUGUAAAGUGACGUUAUGCAGAAGGCAAAUCAACUUUGAUGGAAGGUUUGGGUAGCUUGGAACAUGUCCAUCAACAUCCUUUUGCAUAGAAGCAGCAACCUGCAAUAAGAAACAAGUAUAAAUCUGAGACUCCAAACAAAUCAAGCACGGUCUGCGGACGAAAAAAGAUGGAAAGAUCUUUUGAUGAUGAUUGCAGACAUAAUUUCCAUUGCAUUCCGAGCAACCAAGAAUUGAAAAAAGUACAUAAGAAAUAAAAAAAACGCUGAGUAAGACGAUUUAAUCAGGUUGAAAAUCUCUGAACAUCAGUAUCAUGUAAAACAGGUACCACCUACAAGCCAAUGAGAAAGCUGUGAUGGGAAGUGGUUGGGAUUUGACAGCACAAGACACAAGUAGAUACAUUGCAUCAAAUAGCUAUUAAAACCACCAUGUGCGAAUGAACCCAUCCACCAAUCAUAACUGAAAAGGUUCUAUUUUCCUUCAUUGAGCAGAAGGCAAAGAGAAUCAAAAUUGGGCACCUCCCAGUACUUGCAUUCAGAAGGAGAAUCAUUUCCAAAUCCAAACAUGUGAUGAUCCCAUCCUCUAAACUUGCUCAAAACAAGCUUCUUUGGUGCCAAAUCCACGAAAGUUGCAACAGAGGUUACUGAACACAUCACCUAUAAAAGCUAAAAUUCCAUCGUACUUGGUUGCUUCAUCCACCAAACGAACAAGCAAGGUAGUGGUGCAGCACACCGGAACCCAUAAAAAGAGUGGGGCAGUAGACCCAUUACUCCCAACUACUUUGGCCAUAAGCCAAAAAAAAAUGGCAGCAAACAAAGAAAAAUAUACUAGCAACCAACUAAACAAGACCUCCUAUUACAGAUACAGCUUAUUCACACAGCCUAUCCUCUCUUUUUUCUUUUUUGCGAGGUAGCAUAUCCAUAUUUCAACGAAUUCCAAUUUCAAAUGUAUCGAAGGCAAGACCAAUCUUACAAAACAAAAGGAAAAUAAUCAUAUGAUGGAACAAGGCUCUAAAGUACAGAACAAAUCUGACUUAAAAAAGCCAUCAAUGAAACAUUCCGAGAAAUGAAUAUAUGAUAUAAAAAAUUAUAUUCUAAGCAGCAAAAGAUCCCAUUAACUUAACUGGUACCACCACUCAGCAAAACGGAGAACAGCAAAUCAAGUCACAUCCCUGACACUUUUAGCGAUUAAAAUUCGACAGAAACCAAUCCUCCCCUGUCAAGACCUCAAAGGGCCCGCAAGGAGUAAAGUAUCUUUAUACAUAAAACCAAAGCAAAAUUUGACAACUAGAAAGCAUUUAAAAAGUCACUGCACAUGAACAAAUCCGACCACAUGGAAAAACUCAUCAAAAAUAUCGCAAAAAAAGUGGGCAACCAAGGAGCCAUGAAUCACAGCACUAGCAAGCACGGGUAAGCUCAGAGAGAGGGGUCCACCUGCUCGCUGUGGCCUUGGGG